UCGUAUUUAUAGGAUAUAAAAUUUUUUGGCCAAAAAUUAUCACAAAAGUAACUGUCAUUAUAGGUCAUUUUUCUUGUAGUGAUAAAACAACAGUCCAUGCACACAUAAAAUUAAAAUUAAUAUAUAUGUGUGUGUGUACAUAACCAAAUUCAAAUUAUGAAUACUCUUGGUUGAAUAAGGUUUACAUGAUAUAACAUAAAAUUGCUCAAAUAAAUAACACAACUAGUAAACUACUAGAAUAGAAUAAACAACCAGAAACUUUUCUCCUGUGGGAGAUUACACGAUGAAUAUUGAUUAGUGAUUACCACUCUUUUGGUUACACUUUUUCGAUAGAUGCGAAAAAGAAACCUCGUGACUCGGCGCCCCAGCCGAAAGGGAGGGUUCCCUUGCACCUGAUUAGAUCCGCCGGCUUGAUUUGGCCCAUUAGCACCAUCAGAUUCAGGACCUGUUUGAGUAUUGUUUUGCUGAUUUGGUGAUUGGGAGUCCUCUGAGGAUGUAAAAUUUUCCUCCAUCCUCUCUGACUUUUCUUUAAAGGACCUAAGACUACAUUCAAAGAAGCUCCGGCGCACUCCCAUUUUUUCCAUUUCCUCCAUAUAUUUUUGGGAUUUUGCCCUGGCUUUUUCCUGCAGUUCUUCAUCAGACUGGUUUGGCUUAUAAACAACUGCAUCAGGGCUUGUUAUCCUGGGCUCUUCACUGGACUGGCCAGUGUGGGUGCGUUUGCGCUUGCGCUUUGAUUCUGAUUGUUGUGGCCGGCGUAAUUGGCAUUGGCUUUGUUGGUUUUAGUCUGGAGAUUCAUCCUUUGAUUUUGGUGUAUGAGUGGCUUGGACACGUGUGGUUUCUGUUUGGGUUUCAUCAGGUUUAUGCUUAGGAGAAGGGUCUUUCUCAGGAGUAGUACCACUCAUGAUUUGUUCUCAGCAAAAUAUUUGCUCAGUGUAAAUGACUAGUUAGCUAAUCUAAUUGACGUUUGCUACAUAGACUUGAUAGAGAAGCAUUCAUAUUCAUGAUGGAUGAAGGAGGGGUGAAACUUCUUCUCUAUUUCUCUCUAUUUCCCCACCGGAAUUGAGAGAGAUGGUGAGGGCGUGGUGUGUCGGUGUUAGUGAGAAAGAUGGUGCGGGGGUGUUUGUGGCGGUAUGAGAUGGAGUGAGAAAGAUGGUGAGGGUGUGUGUGUGUGAGAGAUGGAGAGGGUGAGUGUGCAUGAGUUUUUUGUGUGCGUGUGUGAGUGUGUUAUGUGCGUGCGCGUGUGUUGUGUGCGUGUGGGAGCUGGAGAGAUGGUGAGGGCGUGUGUGUAUAUGAGAGAGAGAUGGUGAGGGUGAGUGUGUCGGCUAGUGGUAGUGGCUGGUGAGAAAGAGAGAUAGGGAUCGUUUGUUUUGUGUGUCUGUUUUGUGUGUCGCAUGGGCGUGAGAUUUUAAGGUUUAGAAUUAUUUUUAUUAGUUUUUAAAAUUUUUUAGUUUAAGUAUGUUUAUACAAUAAAAUUAAUUUAAUUAAAAUUAAUUUAAUUAAAAUAAAUAAAUUCUUUAUCAUAUUGAUUUUUAAAAAUAGUAAUAUUAAUAAUGAUAAUACUAAAAAGAUAAAUAAAUUAUAAAUUAAACAAAUAAUUUUUUUGUAUAAAUAUUAAGAGAAAAAGAUUAUAAAGUAUGUGAAAAAAAAGACAAAAGUUUGUUUCAUGUCUUGAAUGUUCGGUCUCAUGUUUGAGUUUAAGAGUUUCAUGUAUUUCAUUUUAUGUCUUAUGUAAUAUAUUUUAAAUGCACUCAAUUUUUUUUCCUCCAUUUCAUGAUGGCGUUCAUAUUGUGUAUCUAACGUUUAUAGUUACAUUGUUGGCGUUUUAUGUUUCAUAUUUAAUAGUACUCAUAUUUGAUGUUCAUCAUAGCAUAUUUUACAUUAAUAUAGUCUACUCUUUGUUUGACGUAUAAAUGUCAUGUUUCAUAUUACUAAUUAAGUAGCAUCUUUCCACGUUUCAUAUUCUAAAUGCCCUCGAACAUUUAAUUUUUUUUUUCCCUAGUUUCAUGUUUGAUGUUUUGUUUCAUAUGUGACAUUCAUUGUUACAAAUAUGGAGUUAACUGUUGCAUAUUCUAAAUGCCCUUCAAAGAUUUACCUUUUUCACAUGUUUCGUGUUUCACAUUCCUAUUUCAAAUAUAAAAUUCAUUGCUGCAUGUGAAGAGUUUACCGUUUCGUGUUCUAAAUAUUUUCUUAUAAUGAAUAUAUAAAAUAACAAAAAGUAUAAGAAAAAUAUCUUAUUAUUAAUUUUUUUACAUCGAAACAUAUAAUUCUUAUUUUUAGUACUUCAUUUUUUAUUUUAAUUUCAUUUAUAUGAUUUAUUUAAUUUAUAAUAAAUACGAAUAAAAGUGUAUUUGAAAAUAAAUGUAAUAAUAUAAAAUUAUGUUAGUAGGGAUUAUUGGCUAUUAUAAAAAUAAUAAGAAGGUAAAUGAUAAAUAUUGAUUGCAGUAAAAGUGAAAUUGACAAACUCCCUAAUAAAUGAUCAAAUUUUUAUUUCAGUGGAUUUUCUUCCCAACAAGUUCUUGAUUUUUUAAUCUUCUGAUUGAUUUACCUCCUCUUUUCUUUUUGAUGAAAUUGAAUGUUUAGUAAUAAAUAUUAGGGAUGACAAAAAAAUCCGAGCUGACCCAUUUCCAUGGACUUUGGCUCGAGCUCGGACUCCAAAAUUGUUUUGUAUGGGUUGACUAGACUUGACUUCUUAUUUUGUAUAUGAGUUUAUAUGAGUUUUAGCAAAUUUAAGUUGCAUGAAGCCAUGAAUUGUUAGAUUCCACUACUUCUUGUUGUUGGUUGUUACACCGGACAAUCUGUCAAUCUUUGAUCUCUGUGGCAGAACAAAUGAAGCUCCGAUCACUAUUGUUUGAACCAUCCUUCUCAUAUGCUUCAAUUCGGAAGGAAGCCAAUUGUCGUAUACUAAAUGGUCCAAAUGUUUGAUUUCAUUUAUGGGAAAAACACCAACUUUGAUAGAUUUGAUAGCAAAAAUGGUUUUGUGAAAAAAGCAUCUUUGAUUUUCAAGAUUAGCUUGCUUGCCGUGCUAGUCAUUUCUCUUCUGUUCAUUGGCCCAUCACUUCGAAAAAAGCCGAAUAUUAGAUGCUUUCCCUUCUAUUAAUGAUAUGACUUGAACAUGGAUAGGUCUCUCAAAUUCAAAGUUAGUUAUAACUUUUUUUAUAUUUUCUUGAAUUAUUAACAUUAAAACAAAUAUUCACCUGCCUAACUAAAAUACAUGAAUUAUCUGUUGUGCAUACAACAACAGCCGUGCACAGAUAAAAUUAAACCGGAAAAAAAUAUGUGCCGAAGCGAAUUCAAAUUAAGAGUACCCUUGGUUGAAUAAGGUUUAAAAGAUAUAUAGUGCGGGUUUGUGCUCUUCAAAGACCAUCAAGUGAUCUUUAUUGUGACAGUAAGGACCGAUUGGUACCAUUUUUGGCUCAUAAGAAUUUUCAUUUAUUUUACGAAGUUUAUCACGCACUAGGAAAAUCCUGAACUAUCAAGGUCUAGGUGCAUACACGGCUACAAAUUUUUUCUCCGACAUAAUCAAGUACCAAGUUAGCUGGUUCACCAACCAUCACUUGCUCUUAGAAAACGUACAGGUUCCUCUGCUGAUGCCAAGAAGUUACACAUUUAGGAUUGUGAACUUACCAUUUUUAAAAAAGACAAACUUCAAUUCAUCCUCCACAUAAAAAGACAAUUUUUAAUUUAGUCUUUUAAAAGUGUGGAAACUUUAAUUCAUCCCUCAUUUUCAUUUAGAAGACGAAGGCAGACAGGGUACAUUGAUCACCUUUUUAUUUUAUCUAUUUAAAUAUAAGUAAAUUGAUAUUUUUAUAUUUUAAGGGUUGAAUUUAAGAUAUUCUCUAAAUAGGGGAUAAACUGAUGUUCUACCUUUUUGAAAUCUUAUUUAGAAUUGAACGUGGUGGUAGUAUUGGAGAGAUAAGUACAUAACAAAAUUAAGAAAUAAAUGAAAAUUUAUUAAAAUUUAUUAAGGAAUCAGUCACAGUUUUUAAGAAAACCCAAUUACUUGAGACUUAAAGAAGUCAUUGAAAGGUGGUGGAUUUUCUAUUGGCAAUUUUUAAGCAUCUUUAGCGAGCCGAGGAAAAUAUUUUAUUUAUUAUAAAAGCACAAAUAAAAUGAAAAAUUAAAUAGGAAAUUUAAGAAGUCAAUGACAGGUGGUGGAUUUUCUAUUGGCAAUUCAAUUGCGGUUUAUGAACUUACAUUCCUUUGGAGUGAGAAUUUUUCCAGACAUUCUACAACCAUCUUGAUACACGUCUCCAAUACCACAAUCAUUACACCUGCUUUUCAAUGACUUUGCGCUUGUUGAUAAUAAGAAAUAACUGCAAACAGAGCUUGCAGCAACGUUAGGAGAAGUAGGACAACAGCAGCAAGAACGGAGAUGAUUGCCCAUGGAGUGUUGAAAUAAUUGUGCCUUAACUUGGCCAUCCACUUAUUAUGGCGCCAACUGCAAUGCAAAUUCACUUCGUUAAAAACCUCACGGCAAUAGAACCGCUCACCGAGUACAACACCAUCACAAAGCUUGUUAAGUAACUUAUGGGUCCCCAUAACAAUUUCGAGCUCUUUCUUCCAGUUUCCACAUCACCUUGACAUAGUCUUGAGUAAUGUAUACCCGUUCGAUUUACAAGAGUAUGAAGAUAGCUAAUUUUGUGCUUUUCAAAGGCCGACGAGUGAUCUUUGUAGUGAUGGUAAGGACCAAUUGCUAGCAUUUUUGGUUCAUAAGCUUUUUCAUUGAACUUACGCAGGAAAUCAGGCAAUCUGGAAAUGCUGCUGAAUAACUGAGACGGUGCAUCAAGCUUUUCCCCAACACGUUGUAUUAUUAUGUCAACUGGUUGUAAUACAACUAGUUAAUUACCCAUGACUUGAUCUGCAUUUAAGUGGACAUAAUUAAAGGAACAAACGUUGACUAUAAAAUUUCACAAACGUUCUGUUUUUCACUAAAUUAAUUAUUGACAAUCACAGAAUUCACAAGUAUUCGAAUUUUACGUAGAAAUUAUCAUGAAUGACGAGAAUUAAUAAGUCUACAUUUUAUAAAUUUCAAAGUGCGUACUAGGGAAAAAGUAGUGAUUGAUAAGUACCCCAACAUCCAAGCAUCAACAAUAGUUCUAAAUCAAAAAAACGAUGCAAGGAGACCGCAAAAUCGUCGAAAUAUAGAUUGGGCCCCAAUAACUUACGAUACAAGGAGACCUCAUGUUCAAAAGUCGUCGAAAUAUUGAUGUAUGUAGUUUGUCGCUUGCAUGACUGACGUUGUAAUUCAAUUAUUGAAGGGUUUUCAGCUGAAGCUGCGUGGGUCCGUUGGUUGUCGCGUGCGUGACUCACGUUGCAAUUCCUCGAGAAAUGAUAUCUGUCCUGCUUUUGUGCACUAGUGGAUGCACCAUUGGAUAUAAUGGGACCUAAAUCUAAGGGUGAGUUAAAAGCCAAGCAAGAGAUGAGUAGGCCGGAAUUAAAAGGUCAUGAUUAACAAAAGAACGGAUCACCUAACGCCUAAUCAAAAGUGAACUAAAACAUUAGGAUUUAGGGGUACACAUUACAGUUUCUAAUUUGAUUACCUAAGGGUUUGGUAGAGCAAUUUUCAAACAAUUUCGUUUCUUAAUAAUCUGAAUUUGAGUCCUAAGAAAAUGACACUUAAUUUUUAUCCUAGUCAACUUUUUUUUUUUUAUGAUUAAUAGUUAUCAUUCAAAGUCUCUAUAGUCCUACCAUAAACCUCAGAUAAUUCAUUAAGUUUAUUUGUUUUUUUAACUUAAAAGAAAAUUGUUAGUCAUUAAGUAAAUUUUUUUUAACUUUUUAUUUAAUUUAAAAAACUUGAAUGAUAUAAUUAAAAGAUAUUCUUCAAAAUAUUUCUACCAAUUAAUUAAUUUUUAUUUUUACCUAAAUAAAAUUUGAUAUUAAUAUUAUUACUCAUCUGUAUAAUUUGUGAUAAUAUAAUAGUAAACUAUUAUUAUUUUUAUCUAGCAUCAUAAACUACAAUAAAAUUUAUUAACAUACAAUAGUUUAGAAUACUAAAAAGUUAUAUUCAAUUAAACAUGAUCUAUAUUAUGACAAUAUAUUGUCUUAUUUAUUUUCUUUAAUAUGCUUAUUAUUUGUUUAACAUUUAUAAUUUGUAAGGACACAAAUAUAAAAAUAUUAAUUUUCAGAUUUUUUAAGUUAAGAAAACUUAAUAUUUAUUUUUAAUGAUUCAGACAAAAAAAUAAAUGUAUCAUUCUAAUUUAGACAUUCAAUUAUUCAAAAUUCAAAGUAAUUCAAAUUUAUUCAGAUUUUAAACAAAAGAACAAACGCCAGUGUAACAAAAUCUUUUUCCCUUUACAUUAAAAAAGUAAAACUAACUCGACUGCAAGUUAAGUUAUUUUAACUUUUUAGCCAUUGAACCAAAGAACAAAUUUUUAAAUAGCUUAUUGAAUCAUCACUUACAUAAUAAUAAUAAUAAUAAUAAUAAUAAUAAUAAUAAUAAUAAUAAUAAUAAUAAUAAUAAUAAUAAUAAUAAUAAUAAUAAUAAUAAUAAUAAUAAUUAAUAAUAAUAAUAAUAAUAAUAAUAGUUUUUGAAAUUUUAUUUUUAUUUUUACCUAAUAUAAAUAGGUGAUAACUAAAAGAAAACCAAAUAUUAUAAUUAUUAUUCAACCUUAAAAUAUGGUUAUGUUUUUUUUCUCUCUCAAGGUACUGCUCUCUUUAAACAUUUUUUAGUUUUGAUAUUAUCUCAAUAUAUUGUUUCAACCUUUUGGAGAUUUUUUUUAAAUAUUUAAAUACUUUAUAAUAUAGUAAUGAUUUUAUUUAAGUCUCUAAUUUUUAAUUUAUUGAAACCAUUUAUUCAUAUCUAUUAUAAAACAAGUAAAUGGAAAAUAGAGUAUAGAUGAAGAAGUCAUUUCUCAUAUAGGGAUUUUCCGUCCCCACCCCACUAAAUUUAUUAAGGGAUGAAGUGGAGAAUGGAGACAAAAUUUUUAAUGGGGUAGGUCUCUCACCCCCACCGCACUCCAUUGCUAUUCUUAAGUAGGGGAUAAAUUGAGAUUGUACCCUUUCUCAAAUUUUAUUUAGAAUUGAGUGCGGUGGUAAAAUUGGAGAGUUAAGUCCAUAACAAAGUUAAGAAAUAAAUGAAAAUUUAUUAAAAUUUGAUGUUGAGGAUCAGCUACAAUUUUUAAGGAACCCAAAUACUUAAAAUUACACAGCACAAAUCUAUGCAAUGGAAACUCAUAUGACUUAGGUAAUUUUUGAAGUAUAAAUUUAAACGAGAGCGUAUGCAAAAUUCCAAGCUAGGGCCAAUCAAAUUGACAUCAAAUUCAAAAUUGCUUUAUAAUUAAUUAAUUUAUGCUUCGUUGGACUUACUUUGAACAAUAAAUCAAGGGGUCUAGAUUACACGAGUGAAUACAGCAAAGGAUAACAAAACUCACAGCAUAUUUUUGUGCUCAUUUCCUUUGGUGAUUCACAUCCUUAUCUUGCAUUAUUCUCGAUUGUUCUUGCCCAAAUCUCAUUUGCAGCAAAUUUUUAAUUAUGGCUUCCCCGUCAAAACCACUUCAUUGGGCUUUCUGUCGAACAACUACGGACAUAUAUCAAACACCCUGCGUAUGACACAAUAAGCAUGGCAACCAGAAAUCUCAAAUUGAAAUUUAUAAUUUUCUAGAAUUAUUGAAACACAGCCUGUUAUCUAUUCAAAAGUUUGUUUACAACUGCUUCUAUGUUCAAUGGCUUUGCGCUUGUUGAUAAUAAGAAAGAACUGCAAACAGAGCUUGCAGCAACGUUAGGAGAAGUAGGACAACAGCAGCAAGAACGGAGAUGAUUGCCCAUGGAGUGUUGAAAUAAUCGUGCCUCAACUUGGCCAUCCACUUAUUACGACGCCUACUGCAAUGGUAAAUCACUUUGUUAAAAACCUCCCGGUAAUAGAACUUCUCACCGAGUACAACGCCAUCACAAAGCUUGUUCAAUAAGGUUGCAAUCACUUCAUCAUCUCCUAACAAAUUAUCAAUUAUUCCACGACGGCGGAGUAAUUCAGCAUCCUUAGAAGAAUUGAUGAGGCAGUUCAGGAAUUCCACAUAAUCGAUUACAUGCUUCAGAUUUAAGUCUUGAGAACACUGCUCGUAUGCAAUGAAAUUCUGUAAAAUUGUUUCUGUAGCAUCACCAAUUUCCAAGGACGGCAUCUUCAUUACCCCAUUUUCGAACUUAAUAUCGAAAAAGGAAUCAUCAUCCUUAUCGACCUCAACCUUCCGGAAUUCGAUUCCAGCCUCUUGAAUCUCUGUGGCAGAACAAAUGAAGCUCCAGUAACUAUUAUUUGUGGCAUUAUUCCUAUAUGCGUCAACUCCUGCAGGCGAAGGAAGCCAAUUUUCGUGUAUUAAAUGGACCAAAUGUUUUAUUUCAUUUAUGGGGUAAACAUCAACUUGAUAAACAAUAUCUCUUCGACAACCUUUCCCUGGUAAUAUGCCAUUGAAAAAACGCAGGAUCAUGAGAAGAAAGCUGUCAUUCCUUGGAUCAUUAGGCAUCUCAGUCAUGAUAAACAACUUCCAAAUAACAAAAAAUGGAAGUUGAUUCUCAAGCAAAAUCAUAUCUCGUGCUAUGGAAGGUAACAUCCAACCUAGUUUAAGAAUUGGGUCAUCAUCUCCUCUCAAAUGUUUCAACCUAAACUUGCGAAUAACCUCAACAAUAAAGCAACCAUCGAGAAGCAUCAUUUGCACAAACUCAUCUCCGUUUAAACUUGUGGACCCUCCAUAACACUUUCGAGCUCUUUCUUCCAAUGCCCUCAUGGCCAUGACAUAGUCUGACAAAGGUAUACGAGUACGCUCUAGAAGUUUUUUAAGAUAGCGAGUUUUGUGCUCUUCAAAGGCCAAUAAUUGUUCUUUGCGGUGAUGAUAAGGACCGAUUGCUAGCAUUUCUGGUUCAUAAGCCUUUUCAUUUAACUUUCGCAGUACAUCAGGCACCUUGAAAAUGUUGAACUGAUCAGAUGGCGUAGCAGUUAGACGACGAAGCUUUUCCCCAACAAGAUCAAGCACUAUGUCAGCUGGUUCACUUGCCAUGACUUGGUCUGCAUUUAAGUCACAAUAUCAAGCACUAUCAAAUUUCAAGAAUGUUGAAAUCUGCAUUUCCAUAAAUUAUUGACAUCCAUUGAAAACACAAGUACUUCAAUUUUUCAUAAAAGUUACCACGAAUAUCAAGAAUUCUGUCUCAAUUUAAAAAAUUCCGAUGUGUACUAGCUAACAACUACUGAUUGAUAAUAGUUUCAACAUCUAAGAAGUAUAGUUACAGCACUACUUGUACAACAGGAGGGAGUGAAACAAAAUCAACAAUAAUAACCCACUAAUCGAAUGAUCAUAAACAACUCAAAAAGUUAUAUAUUUUUUUCAAUUUCAAUUCUUUAUAUCCUUAGAAAUAAUUCCUACAGCAAUGAUCCAGAUCACGGAUCUCGCCUCUCACACGGCUAGAGAAACUAAGCAAAAUUCAUACAAAGUCGAUUAAUGCUUCAGAGUUGUAAGAUACAUUAUUCUAAACAAUUUUGUGAUAACUUACUUGUUUGAAGGCUAUCGUUCCUAUUGCUUGACGAGAUCGCAAUCUUACCAGUGCAACGAUUCUUGGUUGACGAGAUCCCAAUCUUACCGUUGUAACACAAAGGAGACUGCAUGUGGAAAAAGGCUAUGAUGAAUGAUGACCCACCAAAAAAAAUAAAUUAAAGGGUGAGGUUAUAUACACUCUAUAAAUUACUCUCAAUACUCUAUUACUAUAUACACUCAUCUAUUAAUUCAAAAAAAAUAAAUUAUACUUUGUACACUUUUUAAAAUAUCAAGAAAGUCCUCACUUUAUCCUUUUUGAAUUAAUUAUCUUUAUUUACUCUACACACUCAUGAAAAUGCUAUACAAAAUCAAAAAAUUUCAGGUCUCAAGCAUUUACAACUCCACAAAAUUAAUAAACUAAUAAAAGAUUAUAAGCACAAUACCUGGAACAACUAAAAGAUCAUGAUCAAAGACAAAGUAAUCAUGUUCUGACUUCUCAUAGCAUAUGUGAUACAUUGGCCCCAUGUUUCUGCGUUUCAUGGUUUUUCUUUUAAUAAUUAAAUAUUACGUGCUUAAAUUUUAGUAAUCAUGUUCUAAAAGAGAGGGAUAAGGAAGAAUGAUUAAGAGCAGGUGCUUGGCAGAAGGGACCCUUAUGACGAUCUUCUUCAGCACAGCUGCGAUGCCAUUUCCAUCUCCAAUUGAAUGCAAGAAAAUUCAGAAGCCAAGGAAGAAUGAUUCAGAGUUUGUUAAAAUUCUUUAUGUUGUAAACUAAAAAAUCAAAAGGAUCACACAUACCUAAUUAAAGUUAAAAUCUUCAUAUAUUGAAUUUCCUCUUUAAAUAUUUCUUUCAAGUAUUUGAAAGAAAAAAAUUUAAGGGUUUAAAAUAGUAAGAAAACUAAAUAUUAAAUUUAGUGUCCUAAAUGAGUGUUCAGAGUAAUAAUAUUAUGCAUGCUCAUAAUAAAGUGUCCUUAAUAGUAAUUUAUAUCACGAGUAUUUUUGUAAUAAAUUUUUUUAUAAAAAUAUGAGUGUUUAGAGUAAUUUUUAGAGUGCAUAUAUCCCUACCCUAAAUUAAAUUGUACGGCAAGUUUUUCUUUCUUUUAUAUUUUCAAUUCUUAUCAUUAGGCAAAUAAUAAUAAUAAUAAUAAUAAUAAUAAUAAUAAUAAUAAUAAUAAUAAUAAUAAUAAUAAUAAAAGAAGGAAAAAGGCUUUAUAACCCACGGGCAAAUUUAUGGAAAUUCUUUUCGCUUUUCAAUUUCACCAAGCCAUACUCUCACCAAAAGUCAUACUCUCAACUUUCUUGUAAAGUUAACCAAUUACGAAGUUUUAGUCCCACCCGCUGUCUGGAUGCUCUGCUCACCGUCGCCCAUUUUCCUGGCCAUCUCCCACCCAUGUCUUGUAAUCCAACCACAAAGUCAACAAUUUGCAGCCCACACCAAGUACAACUUGCCGUUCAAAUUUUCUUUUUUUUUUUUUCCAAAUUGAGAUUGAGUGAAAAUGGCAUCGAAUAAAAAAAAAAAAGGAAAACACUUUCAAAGACAUUUAAGUCACUUCGUGUGCCACGAUCUUUAAACCUCUAUUUCUUCCAAAAUUAUCAAUUUCGUUGAGGCCCAAUUCAAACUCUAACACUCUUCAAUCGACAAUAAAUCCUCAACAAUCAAGUCAAAUGAAUAAUGUUAAAGUCGUGGGCAGUGGUGAGAGAUGGGAGAAAUGUGUGUUUUAUUUUGCUUUUGUAUUUUGGUGGAUUAAGGGUAAAUGUGUCAAAAUGGCAUGAAGUUGGUUAUAUUUAUAAGAAAUAAGGGAGAGACUUCUUUGAUAAAUUAAAAAGUGCAAAGUGGCCAUGUCUAUAAAUUUCCCAAAUUUCUUUAAUUUUUUCUAAUUAGGAAGUAGAACAAGACUGCCAUUUUUUUCGUCAACGAGACUACCACUUUGAAAAUUCUUUCAUAUGUUUACAAAGUUGGAUUAUCUCUAACCACUCUAACCACAACCCUCGGAUCUUUACUUUAUUACCAACCUUGAAAAUUGUGCAAAUAAUUAAUAGGUGAGAGGGUAAAUAGGUUACAAAUUUUAUCAAAUAAAAAAUAAAUUUCCUUUCUUUUCAAAUGAAUAUAUAACAAUACACUUAUCUUUUAUUAUUGAAAAAGUAAUAACCUUUCAAUAUCACAAUAAUUUUUCAAUAUUACAUUUACGAAAAAUAAUACCCACACUUUUAAGGUUUGAGAAAAUAAUCAUGUAUAGUGGUAAAAUUAGCCGCUUUCUAAAAUUUUACGAAACUUACAAAAAUGUCAUUAUUCAAAAUUUAAAAAAUUGCUACUAUUUUAUUUACAAUUGUACCACUCUUUUAAUUUACAACUCUGCCAUUUACAUAAAUAAAUAAAUAAAAAUGAGCAUUUAUUUGAUUCCGGAUUCCCAUAUCGUGCUCUCUUUCUUGGCUUGUUCAGUUCUUCGUCUUCUUCUUCGUAAGAAUAGAUAGUAAAUUUAUUUUUAAAUUCAAUCAUUUAUGAUAUAUUUAUUAAUUAUAAGGUAGUAAAUAAUUUCAUAAAUGACUAAUUGACUAUUAUAUCUUUUGAUUAUAACAACCUAAAUAAAUAUAAAUAUGGUAACACAAUAAAAAUAAUAAAUAAAUAUCAUAUGAUACAAAUAAAAUAUUACAAUAAAUAUAAUUAAUAAAAUAACAUGUAUAAUGAUUAUUAUUUUAAUAUUAAGUUAUUAUUAAUCUAUCUCGAUGGGUUUUAUUAAUACUAAAAUUUGUUAAUCCAAAAAUUGACUUUAAAAUUUAUACUAAUAUGGACAUAAUAAAAAAGAUAUUGUAAAUAAAAUAAUAUAAACUUUAUAAAUUACUGUGAAUGUUAGGUAUAAUUAUUUUAAUAUUAUUAAUAUGCCAAAUAGAUUUUAUUAUUAAUAAAAGAAUGUGACAGAUUAAUAAUGUUAAAAUAACUUUUCUAAUAUUUCAAAUAACCUAUAAAAUUUAUCUUAUUUUAAAUAUUAUAUUAUUUUUAUUUUAAUUAUAUUUAUUAUAGAAGUUUAUUUAAAGUCAAUUAUUGGGUUGUUGUGAUCAAGGAUAUAAUAGUAAAAAAGGGAUUUAUGUGACCAUUUAUGAAAUCAAGGGGUUUGUAUGACCAUUUAAGCAAAUCUUGAGGGUAUGAGUGGCCUUUCCCCUUUAAAAUAAGGAAUCCACUAUUAAAUGAACAAUAAACAACUCGACUAUUACAUUUUCAUUUUUAUUUCAUUUCUUAUUCUUUAAUAAUAAUUCGUAUAACAUUGAGCCUGAUCGUGGAUCUUGACUGUCGCAUGAUUAAGUAAAUAAGCAAAAUUUAUUGGGUACAAAUACAGUGCAAGAGACAUCAAUUUAGUUGAUUAAUGCAAUGAAUUUUGAAAAAAAACAAUCCUAUUUUUUAUAGGAUCAACUUACUAUAUAAAUUAAUUAUUACCUAAUUUGAAAUUAAAUAUAUAUGACAUAUUUAUGUGAUUUUGUUUAAAAGAAAAAAAAAAUGUGCUUAGUUCACUUGCUUCUUUUCAAAAUUGGAUAUGACUUGAAUUUUAUCUCUAACUUUUGACAGUGCGAAAUUCUAAUUGUUAUUAUCAUUAUACAUCAAUAAAUUAUUCAAUGUUAGUAUUGCUUUGAGUGCUUCUUUAUGCAAGAUGAGACUCUUUGUAAAUGUCAUUUUUAACAUAGAAAAAUAAAAUAUCUAUAAUAGUCUUAUUACUACUAAUGUAAUGCAAUUAACUACUAAAGAAUAUCUUCAUAAAUUAAAAAUAUUUUAAUAUAUCAAUUAGUUAAUAUUCACUAAAUUAUUGGAUUUUCUAUGUUCCCAUGGCUCUUAAAUUAUUGAAGUUCUAAUGUAUGACCUAAGCUUGGUCUAACUUUAUUUUGUUGAUCAUCCGAAUUCGAAUAAAAAAGAGAGUUUAAUUUCAUGAUUGUAAUAAAUUAAGAUCAAAAUAAAGGAAAUCUUAUCGUAAAUUAUUUAAAAAAUAAUUGUACCCAAGGUUUUUGUUGGAUCAAGGGAUUUGUUGCAACUUCCUAGCUAGCAUGUCACUCUUCUCCACUUCUACAUACUUAGCUAUAAAAGUAAAGGAGCUAUAUUGGUGCUCAUAGAAUGAAUAUUAAACCAUUUAACUUCAUCUUCUAUUGUCCUAAGGGUGUUUACUGGCCCCAUGAAGCCAACAAUUCUUAAGAUGACUUUUAAUGUUAAUAAAAUAGGAUUUUAAAAACAUUGUAAAUCUUUUGACGAAACUGUUUAAUUUAGUCUACACCUCAAAUAAAUUCAAAACUAAUUCAACCAUUUAACAAUUUUUAACCUUCAAAUUACAUGCACCACUUUCAUUAAUGGUUGGUUCUUUUCUCUUCAAUUUCCAAAGCUCUCCAUUCUUAUUUAUAACAAGUUUGUAAUAUCACAAUCUUUAUAACAAUGGAAUAGUAGAUCGGAGCAGAAGAAAAACACCAUAUUAAAUGAAAAUCGAAUAAAUUGAACGCAUAUUUGUCAGACGAGGUUGUAGCUUGUAACAAAUAUUUUCAUCCAAAAAUAAACCAUUCUUAUUUAUUACAAGGUUGUAAUAAAUAUUUUCAUUGAAAAAUAAAGAUUUUAAAGAGGCAUCAUUCAAGGAUCCAUAAAAUUAAAAAGUGAAAAUACAAAUCUAUUUACUUACUAAACUAAUUUCAAGCUUUUUAAAUAACACAUUUCUGGUAAAACAAGAAUAACAGGUACAACUCAAACUUUAUGAAUAAAAAGUACUUACAAUUAUAUUGAAAAAGCAUAAUUUUUUUUUAAAAAAUUUUGGAGUUCGAAUUCAAAACCCGUGCCCUAAACAGGUUACUCCUUUGUGAAUAUAAUAAAGGGGCUUUGUGAGAAUUUUUAAGGGGUGUUAAAAGCUGAACUCCUAAUUCAUAAAGCUUAGAACCGAAAGCAUUCUUUGCCGGCUUUGCAAACAAGCCCAAAACAUUAGGCAAAAGUAACAAACGAAGCCCACAACAGAGGUCACAAUCAUGGGUCAGUGGAGUCGGUGUCGGUGAAUACAACACACAAGAACAGGACCAGGGUGGAGUGGACUGGUGUCUGGUGGUCCACGAAAGCAACAAAAUUGAAAAAGAAAAAGUCAGCAACAGCGGCUAAGGAGUACGACAUAUAAUUAUUAAUUAUUUAAUUAUUUAAUUUUGGCUAUAAACACCCAAAAGAAUCAUUAGUUUCGGGAGAAUAUUAUACAAAAAGUUAAAAGCAUAUAAGCCAAAAGCAAAAAACUCUCUUGCCUAAUUACCAAUAAAAAGCUUAAUUACAUUUUUUGCUUCUAAAAAGCUUAAUUACCAAAGCAAAAAACUCUCUUGCCCAGGCGCCCCUCGGAGACGGGAUUAGGUUUGGCCCAUUAUCCAUGUGAUUGGUUGUAAUUGUAAUUGACAUUUGCUAUAUGUGCUUCUUUGCUAGCAGUCAGAACACGGUGAUACUUAUUUGUAGUGUCACCAGAAUGGUGUCAAUGGUUAUUAUUAGUGUCACUAUAAUGGUGUCAGUGGUUAUUAUUACUAUAAUAUCACCAAUUUAUGACACUAAAGCAUCAAAUUAUAUCAAUACUAUAUUAGUGUCAUUGAUUGCUAUUAAUAUAGCGUCAAUUUUUCAUUUAUUAUUUGUUAAAAAUUAUAAGAUGGCGUAUUGGCAAUUGAUUUGUUGAUUAAAUUAAAAUGUACCACCAAAUAACAACAAAAAUCAAUUUAUAUUGCAAAACCUUUCAUAACAUGUAAUUAUUAUUAGUUCAUAUUACACAAUCAAAAUACUUCAAUACACAAGACAUCUUAUUCUUAUAAUUGAAUAAUCUCAAAUACCUAAAAAUUGCUAUUAUACAAUCAAAUUUCUUUUACUUGUAGCUGAAUUUAGGGCUAAAUUUAACAAAUCUAAAAACUAAAUUUAAAAGGAUUAUUAUUUUUCACUCAUUAUCUAAUUGUUGACAUGACACAUCUCUCAUGACUAAAAUUUUUUACCUUUAAUGAAAUUGAUUGUUGACCAUGCACUGAAAACAGGGCUUGCACAAAGGUUAGUAGAAGCAGGAAUACAGCAGCGAGAAAGGAGAUGAUUGCCCACGGAUUGUUGAAAUAAUUGUGCCUCAACUUGGCCAUCCACUUAUUACAACGCCUUCUGCAAUGGAAAAUCACUUUGUUGGAAACCUCACUAUAAUAAAACCGCUCACCGAGUACAACACCCUCACAAAGCUUGUUCAAUAAGGUUGCAAUCACUUCAUCAUCUCCUAACAAAUUAUCUAUUAUUCCACGACGGCGGAGUAAUUCAGCAUCCUUAGAAGAAUUGAUGAGGCAGUUCAGGAAUUUGACAUAAUCUAUUACAUGCUUCAGAUUUAUGCCUUGGGAACACUGCUCAUACGCAAUGAGAUUCUGAAAAAUAGUUUCUGUAUCAUCACUAAUUUCCAAGGAUGGCAUCUUCAUUACCCCAUUUUCGAACUUAAUAUCGAACAAGGAAUCAUCAUCCUUAAGGACCUCAACCUUCCGGAAUUGGAUUCCAGCCUCUUGAAUCUCUGUGGCAGAACAAAUGAAGUUGCAGUGACUAUUAUCGGUGCCAUUAUGAAGCUCAUAUGCUGCUAAUCCUGCAGGUGAAGGAAGCCAGUUACCGUGUAUCAAAUGGACUAGAUGUUUGAUUUCAUUUAUGCGAUAAUUUUCAACUCGGUAAACAUUAUCUCUUCGACAUCCUUUUCCUGGUAAUAUUCCGUUGAAAAAACGCAGAAUUGUGACAAGAAAGCUUUCGUAACUUGGACUGUUAGGCAACUCAGUCAUGCUAAACAACCUCCAAAUAACAAAAAUGGAAGUUGAUUCUCAAGUAAAAUCAUAUCUUGAGCUAUGGAAGGUAACAUCCAACUCAGUUCAAAAAUAGGGUCAUUACCUUGUCCCAAAGCAGGGGCAUCCGUGUCCAACCUAAACUUGCGAAAAACCUCAACAAUGAAACAACCAUCAAGAAUCAUCAUUUUCACAAACUCAUCUUGGUUUAAACUUAUGGACCCUCCAAAACAAUUUCUAGCUGUCUCUUCCAGUUCCCUCAUGACCGCGAAAUAGCGUGACAAAGGUAUAUCCAAUCUUCGCUCUAGAAGCCUUUGAAGAUAGCUCAUUUUGUACUUUUCAAAGUCCCAUAAUUGAUCUUUGCCGUGAUGGUAAGGACCAAUUGAUAGCAAUCUUGGUGCAUAAGCCUUUUCAUUUACAUUACGCAAUACCUGAGGCACUCUGAAAAUGCUAAACUGAGAUGGUGUACUAGUUAGACAACGAAGCUCUUCCUCAAGAUCAAGUACUAUUGCAGUCGGAUCACUUGCCAUGGUCUGCAUUUAAGUGGAUAUAAAGACAUAAAUGUUGAUUACUAUAAAACUUAACUAAAUUAAUUAUGGAUAAUUACAGAAGUUACAAGUACUUCAACUUUACAUAAAAAUUAUCAUUAAUGCCAUUAAGUCUGCUUUUUAUAAAUUUUGGAAAAAAAAAAAACAAUAGUCAUUGAUAAUAGUUUCAACUUCUAAUUAGAGUUAUAGUGACAGUACUUGUAUAACAAGGGAAGUGAGACAAAUCAACAACGAGUGAAAGCAAAUCAUCAGUUAUAGCACACUAAUUGAAUGACCAUAAUCAUAAACAAAACCAAAUUUUAUAUUCGUUUCAAUUUCAAUUCUUUUAUAUUCUUAGUAAUAUUUGAUACAGAACUGAGCCAGCUCACGGAUCUUGGAUCUCACGGGCGCGGCCAAAGAAGCUAAGCAAAAUUCUUGGGGUACACAACACAAUUCCCUAUAAAUCAAUUCAAAGGUAAAAAAUGCAUUAUAUUAAAACAAGUUAUUUAUGAUCACUUACAGAUGACUUUCCGGUUGCGAGACGAGAUACCAAUCUUCCCAGUGCAAUGAUUUUCCUUCGUUUUCUUUUUGACGAAAGUCAAAUGUUUGGUUUGGUUUGGUUUGCAGGUGCAAAAUGGCUCCUGUACCACAACCUUGUUUUGGUGCCAGCAACGUGGGUUGAAAUUUUGGUCCUUCGAGUCGAUGGUUGUUGGAUUCCUGGAAAUUUCCUCCCAAAACCCAACUCUUUUCCUAUCAUUGGAGGGGAUGGCAGUUCUACCAUUAUUCCUUUGAUUAUUUGCGGCCAAUUUUUUAGGGGUCCAGCUACGUUACUCCUUUUCAUCUUUUCUGAGUUAUAAAAUUAAAAAUCUCUAUUUUAUUAUAAAAUUAAAAAAAAAAUGAGAUAGUCCUAAAUUUUGACUCAUUAAUCCUACUAAUUUUAAUUUUUUUAAACUUAAAUAAAUGGGUGGGGUAAUUUUUUUAAUAAUUAAUUCAUACACCAAUCAUCAAAGUUUUUGAAAAAAAAUUACUCUUACACCUACCUAAAUGUCAAAUAUAUUUUUGAUAAAACUAUUUUUUUACUAAAUAAAUUAAUUAAAAUAAAAUAUAAAAAAAAAUUGAUUAACUUAUUUACAUGCCCACUAGUUUCAAGCCCAUAUAUCCAGUAAUUAACAAUUGGAUCCUAUCCCAGACUCAAAAGUCAUCAAAUAUGAGACAUGAAAAAUUCUUAAAUAAGUGUGAAGCAUAAAACAGCUUUGCCUCUAAAUCUUUAUUAAAAAACUUGUAAAUUUGUUCAUCAAGCCCCUAGAUGUAAGAAUAAAAAAAGAGUCAUUUCUUUCCCUUACUUUUUGAUACAUUCUCACUAAACAAUUUAAAAACUCAUUAUUAUUAGUAAAUUAAUAUAUUGUUCUUAUAUAUUGAACUUAUUGACUAUAUAAUGAAUAAGUCUUAUGAAAAAAAAUUAACCACAAAUUAAUAACAAGAGAUUAAAUUCAUAUUAACAUUCGUCAUAAAAUAUGAUUUGCAAUUAAUACAUGGUUUUACUUUAUAUUAAAUUAACUAAUUAAUAAAAAAGAGUAUUAAUUUGAAUAAAUUAAUUCAAAUAUAAGAAUAAGUCAUUUUAUUGGUGAAAAUAACUAAAUGUAAAAAAAAAAUUAUGGACUUAUGUGUCAAAAUUUUAAAUUUUUUCACUGUGUUAAUUUUGUAGCAAAUAGUAGGGACUAUAUUGUUAAUAACCUGAUAGAAACAUUUAACCAUUAAACUACUUUUGGGACUGGAUUCAGAAAAGACAAAAAAUGAGGUGUAAAACCACAGCAAUAACAUAGCCCGACCCCCUUUUUUUUUUAAUUGUCAGAGCAUCAGAGAAAGUUUGGAUAAGAUAAUCUUUUAUAAAUUAAAAUAUAAGAUUUCGUUAUAAAAUAUGUUUAAUCUUAAAAUUUUAAUAUUCCAUGAAGCAUCGAGCAAAGUGUAAUUUGAAUAACGGAGUUUAAGGUAUCAAGAUUUUGUAUAGAAAAGAAACUAUAACUAUGUAUGAAAUAAAAGUUGAUAUUGAUGGGAUUAUCUUCUCUUUAAAGUAUAUUUAUUUAUUUAUUUGUAAUAAAUACAUUUUUUAAUUAAUAAAAUAUUUGAGAUAUUUUUUAUAUAUCUUAAUUGCAUAAGUAUUUGGAAUAAGCUCUAUUUAAUCAUAUUAUAUGUAUUUAUGUGAUCAUCAUAUGGAUUCAUAGAAAAUAUAUUACAAAUUAUUUUAUGUUUAAAUAAAUUAAGUUCACUAUUGAUAAAUAGAGUUAAGCGCUCUAUUUGUGUUUUGAAUAAUUUGUCUUGAACAAAUAUGAAUUUACUGAUGUAAUUUGACUAUAUUGAACUGAAUUGCAUAUGAAAUUUAAUUACCUUUGAAGUGAUUGAUAAACUUAUUAAAAUUUCAUAAGCAUUAAUUUUAUUGAAAUCUCAAGUUUGAGUUAAUUAUAGUUUUAUAUUUGUGAUUGUUAUUUCAUUUAAGUUAUCAAUGGGUGCAAUAUACAUUUGUAGUCAAUAUUACCUGAUAUUUUAGUGGGAACGAUUAUCAGCAGUGAGAUGAUAUAUUAACAAUAUAUAAUUUGUACAACAUAUCUCUGAAUGGAUUUUCGGUACUUAGUCAUAGAAUUCUUUGGCAGUAGUGCGUCAACAUAUUUAGUAUGUUGAAAAUAAUUAUUAAAAAAAAGUCAGUAAGUGUCAAGAAACAAAAUGUAAUUAAAUUAAUUAGAUAGUUGAAAUAUCAAUUGAAUUAAUGAUGUGCUAAAAAUGGUUGUUCAGUACAUAAAUCAAUAUGGCAUGUGUCGAAUUAUUAUUCGAAAAUACUAUCCUAAAUCACAUGUAAUUAUAGAGGUCAGUUCUAAUUUUUUAGUGAACUAGAUUUAUAAUUAAAUAAUCAAACUAGCUUAAUUGUAGGAUUAACUAUUGUAGACACUAUUGUAUAUACCCAAAUGAUUCCGGAGCUAGCUUACUUAAUUAAUUACACCGCUAUUGGACUGAUAAGUAAGAUAAUUAGAUAUUUGUGCAAAAAAUCAAAAUAUAUUAUAUAGUAAGAGGCUUCAUUUAAUAUGCAUGUGUAUAAGCCUAUAAGGGUCUUCUAUUAUUUUACAAGAUGUGCCUUAUAACAAGAACAAGUGAUGGGACUUUAUCUUAUCUUUUAAUUUACAUUGAAUAUUUUUUAUUUAAUAAAAUAAUAAAAUAAAGGAUAAAAUAAAGAGCUUUUGUUUCCACCAAAACAUAAUAAAAAUGCUUGUUAUUCUAGAAAAGAACAAAUGAGCCACUAUAUAUAAAUAGAGAAAAAAAUUUCUAAUUUUGAGGGAAAACAUUUUUUAUUGCUAGUUGUUCUCGAUAGUGAUAAUGAUGCUCAUACGUCAAGUAUAAAUCAAACUUGAAUCAUAACCUAAAAUAUCGUUGGUCACGGAUCUUAAUCUAACAAGAUAAGCAAUGAUGGAUCAUGACAUAAAAGUAAAAAUUAUUACUAUGAAAAAUCAAAGUUACGAUUUCUAUGAAAAAUCAAAGUUACGAUUUCUAAAUUAUAGUAAGUCUAUAUGUUAUAUGAGAGUCUCAGUCUAAAUAUUUUGUCUAUAAAACUAUUUUUAAUCAACAAAUAUUGUAUGGUUAAAUAUAAUUUUUAAAUAAUAAUUUUGAUAAAAUUAGUAAAAUAUUAUAUCAUUUUAUAUUACAGGCGUCAAAUCAAAUUAAUUUAAUUUUUAAAUUAUAAUAGUAAGUGUUUACCGAGUACAAGCUACAAAUACCUAAUCUCAAUAGCAAAUAGAGCCGUGAUCUUAAUUGGAAGUAAAGUGCGGAGUGCUACAGGUAUUUACUAUUCUUGAAAGAUUAACUCAUUAUCUAAUUGUUGACUGUCUCAUGACUAAAUUUUUUUUUACCUUUAUUCACUUUGUCAAUAAGUGUUUUUUCUUUUGGCUUUGCAUGUGUCAUUUGAAUUUAAAGAUUACUCAACUAUUUCAAAAUAGUCUUAUAAAAUGAAAAUGGGUUUGAAUGAAAAUGCGUUUACUAAUAAGUAAUCGGAAUAGACUAGAAUCGAAAUGGGUUAGAAUGAAAAUCAGAAUAAAUUAUUUACUUCAAUUGUAGGAAUCAGAAUGAGAUUCAUUUCCAUUGAUGUGUUUAUUUUAUCUUAAAAUCGAAAUGAAUUACCAUAAUUUACUAAAAUACUCUUUGUUAAUUGUUGUCAAUUAGUGGUGGCAACAACAACAAUAAUAAUAUGCAUUUGAUGUGGUCAAAAAAGGCACCGAAAGGUGACAUUACUUUUAAUAAUAUCCUAAUGAAAAGGGCGGGGAUAUGAAGCGGGCAUUUCCCCUCCCCUCUUAAUCAUACAUGCUCAAUUGAAUUGGAAGAUCAAAGACAAAAGUAAGAGAAUUUAGAGUUUUUAAUAAAUACUGAGUGAUUAGUGAUGGAGAAAUUGAAAUUUAAAUGGAUUAAAGUUUGGAUAGUGAGGUAAAAUAUUUUAAUAUUUAUAAAUUUAUUUUAUAUAAAAUUUCAUAUUUUUUGUUUUUGUUUGUGAUUGUAUGUUAAAAUUCUUACAACUUAAGUUUUUUUAAUCUCUCGUCUGAUAUUUAUGUCUAAAUUUUUUUAUUUUUUCUAAUUUUUUUAAUUGUGUAUUUACUUUACUCAUUAAUUUUUUAACAUUUGAAGGAUUAUAAUUUUUUUAAUAUGAUUAUGCAUUGAAUAAAUAAUUUAACUGUUGAUUGAUAGUUAAUCAUUUAAAAAUAAAAAAAUAAAAUUUUAUCUGCAUACUACCAGCAAAAAAAUACAUGAGAAAUUUUUUUAAGAAUUCAAUAAAAUUCAGAUGAGAAUCCUGUUCCAUAUUUGUAACGGCAAUAUUUGUAAAACUAAGGCGUGCAUGUACCUAUUUAACACAAUUAUCUAAUUUAAGUGAAAUGGCACAUCAAAUACAGCUGACAAAAUAUUUUCUUUUUACUCACAUAAAACGCGUGUCUCACAAUAACUCCAUUUGAUGAGUUAUAGCUUUCAAGAAAUUGGAUUUAUUUUUUUUGAGGACAAAAGUAUAGUACAGAGAUAUUUUGUUCACGUCUAGUUUUUUUUUUUUUUAAUAUGGAAGAAAUUAGAACCCUCGGCAUUUAAAUUUUUUCAUGGGAUAAGAUUUGAUUUUUUAUUUUUCUUUUUCUUUUUUUAAAUAUCAAAACAAAUGGUUUUUGACGAGUUAAAAAUCUAAAACUAAGAUAUAUGGAUGUUAACUCUUAACUUCUAUUUACGACUAUUUUCAGUGUUUUAGGUAUUGCAAAUUUUUUUUUUCCUUUAUUCAAAACUCAAAACAAAGACUUCACCAAAUUUAAAUAUAAAAAAAAAUCAAUAGAUCAGUUUUAUUUUUUUAACUUUUAUCAUCUUUAGAAAUGUUGAUUCUCUCAUUUCAUAUUCUCAAACUAUUCUUUUUAUAUGAUUAAAAAAAAAAGGUCACUCAACCUUUGACCGGGUGGUGGAUCGAUAUGAGAGCAACAAUUUGAGUCUUUUAUAAAAUUUAACGUAAAAUUGUAGUUUUAAUUAUUUGUCUGGAUAAAUAUUUCAUAAAAUUUAAUCAAUUUGUUUGAUUGUAUGAUGUAACUAUCUGAUAAAAUAUUAGUUCUCAAAUAAAAAAAAAGGAAGUCAAAGAAAAUCAAAACAAAUUUAAUAUAAUUGUGAUAAUUGUUUGAGAAAGAUGAAAAAGAAAAAAAAAAGAAAAAGGAGAUUAGGUGAUUGAUUUAGAGUUGCCGACAAUAUUAUAUUUUUAGUUGGUAGAGAAAACGUAUUUAACAAAAAGAAAAAGAUUAGAGCUUUAAAUCUCUUGAAAUACUUAAAUGCUAACAUUUAAAAAAAAAGAUUAGUUAAGAAAAUUAAAUUAAGGAGAGAUCCGAAUCAGUACAGAGACAAUGACUGAUUAUAUAGAAAAAUUGAGAUAAAGAGAGAUCCGAAUCAGAACUGAGACAAUGACUGACUAUAUAGCGUAAAAUAGAAGUGACUAGGAAUUAACAAAAACUUUUAAUCACACAAACAAAAAAAGGAAAAAAGAAAAAGAAAAUGGUAACAGUAGUAGCGAAUGCGUCAGCCGCUUCAGCUGGCACUGGUCUGAGAAUAACAUAAAAUUACUAGAACAGAAUAAACAACUCAGAAACUUAUCUCCCGUGGGAGAUUAGACGAUGAAUAUUCAUUGCCACUCUUUUGGUUGUCACUAGAUGUGAAAAAGCUUUUAAUUACUAAGGCAAAACAACCUCGUGGCUCGGCGCCCCAGCCCAGAGGGAGGGUUCCUUUGCACCAGAUUUGAUCCGCGGGCUUGACUUGGCCUAUUAGCACCAUCAGAUUCAGGACUCGUUUGAGUAUUGUUUUGUUGAUUUGGUGAUUGGGAGUCCUCUGAGGAGGAUGUAAAAUUUUCCUCCAUCCUCUUUGACUUUUCUUUAAAGGAUCUAAGGCUCAGGAACACAUGCACUCCUAUUUUUUCCAUUUCCUCCAUAUGUUUUUGGGAUUUUGCCCUGGCUUUUUCCUGCAGUUCUUCAUCAGAUUGGUUUGGCUUAUAAACAACUGCAUUAGGGCUUGUUAUCCCGGGCUCUUCACUGGACUGGCCAGUGUGGGUGCGUUUGCGCUUGCGCUUUGAUUCUGAUUGUUGUGGCAGGCGUAAUUGGCAUUGGCUUUGUUGGUUUUGGUCUGGAGAUUCAUCCUUUGAUUUUGGUGUAUGAGUGGCUUGGAUACGUGUGGUUUCUGCUUGGGUUUCAUCAGGCUUCUGCUUAGGAGAAGGGUCUUUCUCAGGACUACUACCGCUCAUGAUUUGUUCUCAGCAAAAUAUUUGCUCAGUGUAAAUGACUUGUUAGCUAUAUAGACUUGAUAGAGAAGCAUUUAUAUUCGUGAUGGAUGAAGGAGGGGUGAAACUUCUUCUCUGUUUCUUCUCUAUUUCCGUGAAACACCCUCUCUAUUUCUUCUCUAUUUCCAUGAAAUAGAUUUUAUUUAUAAAAUAAAUCGUGAGUCUGUUUUGUGACAUGGCACAUCAAAUACAACUGACAAAAUAUUUUCUUUGUACUGACAUAAAACGCGUUUCAUAAUAACACUGCGAAAGUGAGUCAGAAUGCCGAGCAUUGCACUCCAUUCCUUUCAAAAAAUUGGAUUUAUUUUUUCUUAGGACAAAAGUAUAGUACCCUAUAAAAUUAUUUUUUUAAUAUGGAAAAAUAUCCACCGUCCACCCGUUUUUUACACUUUUUUUAAAAAUAUACAAUUCUUUCAUUUUUUGGCUGGAAUCCACCUAAAGUUACAUUUUUUUUCACUUUUCCACUUUCGUUUGGAAUCCGUUAAGAAAACUAACGGAAACUUAAAAAAAUGACCAUUUUACCCCCAAAACGAAAAUUACAAUUUCACCUUAAAAAAUACCAAAAAUAAUAAGAUUUAAUGAUGAAUAUCAUUAUUGGUACUUUAAUGAAGUACAAAAAAAUCUUAACUACUAGAGAUUAUAACUCAAUUAAUAAUAAAAUUCUAGUUAUCUUAAAUUCAAUUGAUGAUUUGUGAGAUUGGGCUAUUUUUAAUACUACUGUUAUAAUUUAGCAUUCUAAUUACAGACAUAUUUAAAAAAAAACCUGUAUUUGAUGGUUGUGGAAUUAAUUUAUUUAUUAACCGAUGGGGAAAAUAAUUAGAUUUAAUCUAAUUAUUUUUUGUAAUUUUUAAGGUGAAAUUGUAAUUUUCGUUUUGGGGGUAAAAUAGUCAUUUUUUUAAGUUUCCGUUAGUUUUCUUAACGGAUUCCAAACGGAAGUGGAAAAGUGAAAAAAAAUAUAACUUUAGGUGGAUUCCAGACAAAAAAUGAAGGAAUUGUGUAUUUUUGAAAAAUGUGUAAAAAAUUAGUGGACGGUGGAUAUUUUCCCUUUUAAUAUUAAUAAGAAAUUAAGACACGCAACAUUUAAAUUUUUUCAAGGGAUAAGAUUUGAUUUAUUAUUUUUCUUUUUUUAAAUAUCAAAACGGACGGUUUUUGACGAGUUAAAUAUCUAAAACUAAGAUAUAUGGAUGUUAACUCUUAACUUCUAUUUACGACUAUUUUCAAUAUUUUAGGUAUUGCAAAAAAUUUUUUUUCUUUUAUCCAAACCUCAAAACAUUUUUUUUUUCUUUGUUGGCCACACAAACAUAUUCAUGAUGAGGGCUUAGCUAAUUUGCGUCAGGGGUUUGGUACCCCAGUCGCUUGUCCUAUAGUGAAUCAGCCAUUGGAUAUAAUCCUACGGCUAAAGAAGUGACACAGAGUCGAUUGCAUUUAACCGGACAAGAAGGUAAGGGCCCGGUAACAUAGAGGGGAAAAAAAAGUUGACAAAAGUAGCCAUUUAAUGGUUGCCAUGUGAGUUACGAAGACAUGUAUUGAAACAAACGCCAAGUGGAUGCAAGUAAUGGUUCAAAACAAUUUGGUGGAAGCGUGCAAGUGUGGGUUGAGGUCUUUGGCGGAAAUGGAAAAUUGGGGAAAAGUAAUUGGUGGGGGAAAAAAGGGGAAAAUUCCCUAAUCCUGAGAUUUGAAGUAAGAAUUAAUUUAAUUUUUAUGCAUAAUAAUAAUAAUAAUAAUAAUAAUAAUAAUAAUAAUAAUAAUAAUAAUAAUUAUUAUUAUUAUUAUUAUUAUUAUUAUUAUUUUGUGAAUGACGUUAAAAUUAUAAAUAUGACAAUAAUGAUGAUGGUGUCAAUGAUAAAUUGUGUAAUAAUAAAAAUUAAAGAAAUAGUUAACCAUCAACCAAGAAAUGGAGGCUUUAUUGAGAUGAAUGAUAAGUUAAAAGACGAAAAAAAUGAAGAGAAAAAUAUCAUCGACAGUGUAUAGUAACAAGUGUCGGUGACCAUCCGUAUUGAUUGUUGCAAAUAAUAGAAAAUAUAACAUAUUGAGUGUAUUAGAGAAUAAGCCCCAAUUAAAAUGUAAUAGUAAAAAAAUUAAUGAAAUUAUAUGACAUGUUAUUCAUUAACAAGUGCAAAAUAAAAACAAUAGUUUCAGUAUACGGGAAAAAUUGUGUUGUAUAAAAGCAAUCCUUUAGGUAAGUCUGUUGAAAUUGGGCUUGUAGCUUGAAAUAACCUUAGAUUCCCACUUAUAAACCACCAGCUAGGGGUGUUUAGAAUCCAAUUAGAGGUGGUCAAAGUAGCAAAAAUCCGAUCAGUGAAAAAAUGGUCCGUGGAAUACUAUGAUCGGAUUGGAGUGAAAAUGUAAAAUUCCGUAUUAGAUGGAUUGGAAAAGGAUUUAUGUCUGUAAAUCCGAAAAAAUUUGUGAAAUCAGGAGAAAUAGUAUAUAUUGAAUUAAAAAAAUAAAACUCAUAAAUAUAGAAAUGGUAGUGACUAGUAAAAAAAAUAUAAAAUUUAGAUAUAGCUAAAUUAACACAAUAUUAUAUCUUAUUCGAUAACAAUUUUAAAAAAAAUAAAUAAGUAAAUAUAGCUUCGUAAACAUUAAGAAAUAAAAAGCAAAACAAAAAACAUAAGCUAAACAAAACAUUUUGGCAUAUAACACCGAAGCUAUCCCCGACGGCAUGCACAAGGCAUAACUGUUCACUUCACCACUUAAAGUAAUUAAAUUUAAUUGCUUACUUUCUUUUGAAGCUUCUCGAGUUUCAUAAUUUCUUACUGUUACACCAAAACUUUAAAGUUUGAACUUUGAAAUUGAUAAUUUUAGUUACAUUUCAUGUAUUGAUCAAAACAAAUGAAAAUUUUUAUUUCGGUGUGUUAUAAUUGGAAAUUUUGAAUAUAUUAUCGUAGCUUAAUAUUAAUUAAUAUCUUGUUCAAUUUUGAUUUUAACUGGUAGUAAAGUUAAUUUUACAUUAGAAAAUUUAAUUUAAAAAAUAAAAUAUGAAUUAUAUAUUUGUUUAUAUAAUUACUGCGUAGAUUGGAUGAAAAAAAAAAUUGCAUCUGCAAAUCAAUCCGCCAAACAGUGAAUUAGAUAUGGAUUGGGUCUGAUUCGCAUCCGAUCCAUAAAAAUAUGAAUUGAAUUUCGAUUCAAUUUCAGUAAUCAAUGGAUUUGAUUUGAUUGAAUAUUUACAAUCCGUAAAAUUAUGGAUUGGAUAUGGAUUGAUGUCCAAUCCAUAAAAUAUGAGGCGCGAACACCCGUAUUACCAGCACCAGAUAGGGGGAGGGAUAGGCACAGAACCCCCACUGAUAAUAUGGAGAAGUAAAAGUUAACCUUCGUGUGGAGGGGGAUGUGGACCAACAUAUCUAAAUUAAAUGAACAAGAACAUCUGAUAAAGAACAAAGACGAACGAUAUUGGCAACCGAUGAGAAGAAUGAAGGCUUGAUUGUGUUGUAUAGUGACAUAAUUAUAAAGCAAUUGUUUACAAAUGCACAAUUAUAAGGCGGUUUUGAUUAAUGUUAAGAUUUUCAAACAUGUUGAAUAAAACAUUAACAUCCGUUUAUCUAUUUGGAGACUUGAAAAAUGUGAAAUUAAUAUUUUAUAUUAUAUAUAAAAAAAUACACGUAAUUAAAUAUAGUUAAGACAUAAUAAAUAAAUCAUAAUAUAUUACAUAAAAACAAAUAUAAAUUAUCAAGUAAGCACAAAAUAAAAGUAUUAUCGGUUGGUAAAUAAACAAUUGUUAAUACUAAAAACUGUGCACAAUUAAUUAUUGCACAAAUUAUUUGUUUUCAAAUUGAAUGAAUAAAAGAGAACAUAUUUUUCCAAAUAAUAUGUUGCGGGUCAGUGGCUUGGUCACAUAACAUUGCCCAUUAUCAAUGCAUUUUUGCAGCGUAUCAGAUGAGAAUAAAGUAACUGUUUCAAAUUUCAAAAUUCAAGGUAGACAAAUUUUUAUCGAACAAAGUUAAUACAUACGAAAGAAAGGUUCAGGAGUUCUCAUGUUUAUAAUUUUGUUUAAUAAAAAAAUAUGCCAUGAUACAUUAUUUUUCAGAUAAAAGCAUGAAUCUGCCACUACAUUCAACAGGAAAGGUUCUUUUACUAAUUGAGAAAAAUGGCUCCAAUAUUACCUUCAACAUAAUGUAUGUUGCUUCAAGUUUCAACAACAGACUAUUGACAAGGACAAUUGAAAUGAGUUUUAAGACUCAUGAGCCUGGAAACAGAUUAUGACUAGCUCCAACCUGUCAAGCCUAAUCUCUCAGCAACAUUAUACAUUACUAGUUUAUCCCAAGCAGAGCCAAAGAGAUGCUCCCCUCCGAUGGCAAAUGUCAAUGCCCAUGAGAGUAAAACAACUGUGAAGACUGCAAACCCAAUUGCUGAUCCAAGAACAUCUACAAAAGAAUAUAUCUUGCAGUUAUAAAAACGAACAACAUGGGAAAGAAGAUGCGUAAAAUUUAUAAUAUGUGAUAUAAUAAUGCCAACAAGUAGCCUUCCAUGUCGAAAAUGCAGAGGCACCCAACUUCAUCUUAUGAAAGGGUGCCUUUCUGUAAUCAAUACAACAAACUAAUUACAGAAAAACUGCUACGUUCUUGGCUUACACUAUAUUGUAAUCUAAAUACAAGACGCGUAAAUGAAAGUCCUCUGUUAGUGGUGGUUGAGGCAGCAUGCAGACUUCAUCUAUUGAUUUUUAAAACACGCACACACACUCAUUUGAAGCAGAUCAUGCCUGUGUUUCCAAGCUUUGCCAACUGAACGGCACAUAGACCCACACCCCCUGAGACAGCAGUGGUCAUAAUGUUUUUUUGCUGGCCACUUCCAUCUAGGUUGACACCAAGGGGUUGAGCGAGGGCCUGGUGAGUAGAGAGACCAGCACAAGGUAUGCCAGCAACUUCAGCUGCAAAAACUUAUUGCGGCCUAGCAACUAUCAAGCUCUCAUUGGCCAUAGCAAACUCAGCUAGUCUGCCUCCACUCUAUCAUCAAUAACGAAAUUUAAAACUGAAACAAAAUGAACAGAUGAAAUCACCCUGAUGGAGCAGCAUCACCUCUCCGCUCACAUAGAUGAAAAGACUGAACCCUUCACAUGCCAAAAAUGUAUGAACUUUGAAUGAGGACAGAAGGCUCCCAGAUAUCCAACUAAAUGUACCAAAAACCAAAUAUAACUUGGAAAUAAAGAUUUAUAGUGGUGGUAUCUCUUUACAUGCCUAUAACCUGAUCCAACAAAAGUAACAGCGUGCAGUUUAUACCUUUUUCUUUUUUAAUCUGAUAUGACAACACUGAAAUCUUUGGAAUGCCACGUAAUUAUUUUUAUUGACUUACCCAAGCACGAAACAAAGAAAGUACCAAAAAUUCAUUCAAUUCACUCUAUCACCAGAUUGCAGUAACAAAAAGAAAUUUUUAUAGGGAAAGCAGAGUUGCUAGCAUGGUCAAGAACCUGAACCGUGUAAAAAAGAGAAAUGUAUUUUCGACAUUUUACUAAUUAUCAUAGUUGCAACCACAACCAUAUUAACUAAAAUGGGGGUUCUCUUAACUCGAAGAAAUUAUAUUUUGUUGCCUAUCAUCAAUAACCGGUCAUCCAAAUUUCUCCAUGACCUUAGUUUCAAUCUUCCUAGUAGUGGAAGAAGACUAGAAAUUUAUUCAGAAUAAAUUAAAGAUAAAAGGAUAAGAAAAAACAUAUAUAAAAAUUAGCACUCACAAGCACAACUACAACUUUGUCACCCACUUUGAAAUUUUUAACUUCUAAUCCUAGCCCUAUGAACUCCUACUACAUCAGAUGCUGUUCCAAAAAAAAAAAAAAGCUUUAUCAGCAAAAAUAAAUAACAGAAGCACAAUUUAUUUGUUUUGAAAAACAAGUCCCUUCUGCCAAGCUGGAAUUUUUUUCGUCUUCACAAUUCCCUUAUGCCGAGCUGGAAUUUUUCUGACCGAGUCUCCAUUUGUUCCCAUAAUGGCGGCGAGAAUCCGACCGAGUCUCGACGACAGCUCAUUGCUACGACUCGUGACUGCGUCCCUUGAGUCUCCAUCCGAAAUCCAAAUGCCGACGACGACGGCCGCCUCCACGAACGGUUCUGAAAUCACGCUGUGCGUUGAUGACGUGGCAGUGGCGAUUAACAACAAGAACUUCAACUCGGAGGAGAGGUUCAGCGGUUGUGAUUUUUUGUUGAAGCGGUCGUAUUCGUUCGGAAUCGAGCGGAGUCUUGCGUCAGAGAGGAUGGUGACAGAGACGAUAACGGCAUCGCCGUGGAGGUACAAGAGGGGAAGUUUCUGGAGCAAACGACUGUCUCCGUUUGGCUCAUUGAUGAAGUCUAGAGUCUUCUGGAGCAAAUGAUUAUAUACUUCCUUUUUGUUUUCCUUUUACUGAAACUGUAGCUAUAGCCGGUUACCCAUUUUCUAAGUAUUAAACCUGAGCCGUUGACGCAAUGUUUUUUUUAUGAUCUAAAUGGUCAUUUGCAAAAGGACAAAUGACUGGGGUACCAAACCCCUGACGCAAUGUAGCUGGACCCUCAUGAUGAAACCUCUCAGGAAUCGCGACAAAGGUGGGGAUGAAACUUCUUUUCUACUUCCAUGAAACUUCUUUUCCACCGAAAUGGAAAGAAUUCUGAUUUACAAUCAUUGAAUUUUCUUGCCAACAAGUUCUUUAUUUUAUGAGUUUUUGAUGAAAUUGAAUGUUGACUAAUUAAUAAUACAAAGAAGAGCUUAUCGUCAAGUCUUUGGCAUAAAGCAUGGUGUCACGGGAUGAGUAUUUUGCGCAGUUAACUCGUGCGGCACUUAGACAACUUUGCCAAAUAUUGCUAAGUAAGCCUAAAACUUCUCGAACUAUAAAAAAGAGCAAUGAAGCCGAAUAAGAAAACUUGUAUUGCACAAAGAGAGAUUACAAUGCUUGAGUUGCUUACAAUGCUUGAGUUGCUUACAAUGCUUGUUGUUGUGUUUGUUGUAUGCAAAUGCCUAAUGCCAUCCCAUAUUUAUAGGGGAGGCUUGCCAAGCUCUAGAGAUUCUAGAGAAUUCUACCACUUCCUAGCUAUUUACAUGUGCUGGAAUUGUAUAGAGAAUUCUAGAGUAUUUACAAGCUUGAUGUGCUAGAGUUGCCUAGAACUUUCCGGAGUUGGGUCAAGCUAGCACUCUUGGCCUUGUGUUAGGUUAUUAGUGAGCAAAUUGGGCUACGAAUUUGGGCGGUCCGCAACAUCCUCUCCCACCUAAGCUCGUGGCGUCCUCGUCGCGCUCUCGUGCUUGAAAUUCUGGAUGUGCUCAGCGAAUUGCCACAAAUCAUCUUUACGUUCCCAAGUGGCUUCGCUCUCGGGGAGGUUUUUUCACUUCACCAAGUACUCGCUAUGUGCUGGCACGCCCCUCCUCGAAACCACGCGGUCCACAAUGAUGUAGUCUAUAUCUUUGUCGAAUGCGGUGACAACGGCAGUUGGCGUGCGCCUUGAUUCUCCGUGACUUGGGUCUCCCAUGUCCUCGUGAUAUGGCUUGAGAAGGCUCACAUGGAAGACCAAAUGGAUCUUGAGUCUUGGGGGAAGUUGGAGUUGAUAUGAGACGUUACCCACACGUCGAACAACUCGGAAGGGUCCCUCAUAGCGCCUCACUGACCCCUUGUGGACUUUCCGCAGUGCCUUGAAUUGUUGGGGUAGGAGCUUGAUCAUGACUUGAUCACCUUCCUUGUACUCAACAUGCCGUCUCCUUGUAUCCGCCCAUUUCUUCAUUUUCCUUGCGCUUUGUCGAGGUAGGCUCGCGUGAUGUCCGCUUCCUCAUGCCAUUCACGGACGAGCUUGUGUGCCGCGGGACUUUUCCCUCCGUAAGUUGAGGCAAACGCGUUGGGGGUCAUGGGCUGAAAUCCCAUGAUGAUCUCGAACGGACUCUUGCCCGUAGCCUCACUUCGCUGUAAGUUAUAAGAAAAUUGGGCAAUGUCGAGUAGCUUGGCCCAAUCCCGCUGAUGAGCGCUCACAUAAUGCCUCAAGUACAUCUCGAGGAGGCCAUUGAUGCGCUCGGUCUGCCCAUCCGUUUGUGGGUAGAAGCUUGUCGAGAACUUGAGACCAGUCCCCAACAUCUUGAAGAACUCCGUCUAAAAACGUCCAGUGAACUGAGGAUCUCGGUCGCUCACAAUGCUCUUUGGAACUCCCCAAAACUUCACAAUGUGCUUGACGAAUAGGCAGGCUGCCUCGUCCGCUUUGCAAUCGACUGGUGUGGCUAUGAAUGUGGCAUACUUGCUGUAUCGGUCGACAACGACCAUGAUGCUUCCGCAACCUUCGGACUUAGACAGCGAUGUGAUGAAGUCUAUGGAGACACUUUCCCAUGGCCUUGUUGCUAGUGGUAACGGCUCCUAUAAUCCCGCUGGAAGUUGAUGAUCCACCUUGUCUUGUUGACACACAAGACAAGUUCGCACGUAUGACUCGAUGUCGUCCCUCAUGUGUAGCAAAAAAUAUGAGGCUUGGACUAGUGCGGUAGUGCGCUCGAUUCCUGGGUGACCAGCCCACUUGGAGUCGUAGCACUUCUUGAUUACUUCCUUCCGUAAGUUUCCCCACCUUGACACGAACAGCCGAUCUCCCUUGGUGAGAAGGAUGCCUUCCUCUUGCCAAAAUCGCCUUGUCUUGCCUUCGAGCACCUUCUCCAGCAAGUCCUUUGCUAGUGGAUCUUAUUGGAGGCCUUCCUUGAUGAGUGAGACAAGGUCAGACUUUGGUUGGCUCAUGUUAAGUGUUGCCAAUUCGGCCUUACGGCUUAGAGCGUCUGUAACGACAUUGGCUUUACAUGGUUUACACUCGAGCUGGUAGUCAAAUUCUGCUAGAAAAUCUUGCCACCGUGCUUCCUUCGGACUCAACUUCUUUUGUGUUUGAAAAUAGUUCGUCGCUACGUUGUCCGUCAUGAUCGUGAAGUGAGAGCCUAGUAAGUAAUGUCGCCACACCCGCAAGUAAUGUAUGAUGGUUGUCAUCUCCUUCUCUUGCACCGUGUAGCGGCGUUCCGUAUCAUUUAGCUUUCGACUCUCGAACGCUAUAGGGUGGCCUUCUUGCAUAAGGACUCCGUCUAUGGCAAAAUCCAAGGCAUCUGUUUGAACUUCGAAGGGCUUUGUGUGGUCCGGAAGGGCGAGGACUGGUUCUUCCGAAAUUACCUUCUUUAACUCCUCGAAUGUGCGUUGGCACUCUCCGGACCAAUGCCACGUUAUGUUUUUCUUGAGCAUAUCCGUUAAGGGUGCUGCCUUGGCCAAAUAGCCCUUGAUGAAGCGGCGGUAGUAAUUCACCAGCCCAAGGAAUGAGCGAAGCUCGGGUACUUUCGAGGGAGGCUCCCAUUCGAGGAUGGCCUUCACUUUGGCAUUCUCCAUCAUGAGCUUCCCGCCCGCAAUCUUGUGGCCAAGGAACUCCACUUCUUGUUGUGCAAACGAACACUUCUCUAACUUGAGGAAGAGCUCGUUGUCUCGGAGUACUUGGAGGACUUGUCGCAAGUGUUGGGCAUGAUCCUCAAGCAUGGUGCUAUACACCACUAUGUCAUCCAAGUACACGACCACGAAACGAUCGAGGAAUGGUUGGAGCACCUUGUUCAUGAGCGUGCAAAAUAUGGCGGGUGCAUUAGUAAGGCCAAAUGGCAUAACAAGGAAUUUAAAAGACCUGUACCUUGUUAUACACGCUGUCUUCGGUUCGUCUCCCUUGGCGAUGCGUACUUGAUAGUACCCGGAGCGCAAGUCAAGUUUGGUGAAGUAUCGCGCUUUGCCAAGCUGGUCAAAUAAGUCUGCAAUCAAGGGAAUCAGAUACUUGUUCUUGAUGGUGAUCUUGUUGAGCGCUCAAUAAUCGAUGCACAUCCAUAGCGAUCCAUUCUUUUUCUUUUGGAAGAGGACCGGUGCACCGAAUGGGGCCUUAGAGGGGGCGAAUGUAGACUGCGUCCAGCAAGUCUUUGAGUUGUCUCCGCAACUCCUCAAGUUCGGGUGGCGCCAUGUGGUAGGGCGCCAAGGCUGGUGGCUUCGCGCCUUGUUCCAACUCGAUCGCAUGAUCUACCUUUCGUCGAGGUGGGAGCUUCUUCAGAAGUUCCGGAGGCAUCACGUCCUUGUACUUAUUGAGGACGGAUUGAAUUCGCGGAGGGACUUGGCUUGGCUUGUUUCCGCAAUCUCCUUCCUCGUUUAGUUCCCGAAUGGAGACCAAUAAACUUGGGUCCUUCUUGAAAGCUCUUUUGAAUUGCAUGGCAGAGAGUGUCUUCUCUUCGGACUUGCCUCGUUCCGUGGGUACCAUGCAUGCUUUGCUCCCGUCAAGGAUGCUUAGGGAGUUUGUAGCGGGCAACGAGAAGGCAUGGACUUGGUCGAAGAAUUCCGUGCCGAGGACCAUCUUGAAGUCAUCCAUAGGGACGAUGGAGAAAUCAAGCUUUCCGAUCCACGUACCGAGUGUUAUGUGCACGCCUUGUGCAAUACCCGCAAUUGGCUUGGCGGGUGAGUUUACCGUUUUUAUCGUGCCUCCUUCCUUAGUGGCCUUGAGGCCUAACCGCUUGGCCUCGUCUACGAACACGAAAUUGUGCGUCGCUCCCGUGUCUAGCAGCGCACGAACGGACUGACCGUUUACCUUUGCACUUACAUACAUGAGCCCUUUCUUGACGAGUGUGGGCUGUUGGCGAUUGAGUGCGCUGAGGCGUUGGAGAGAACCCAUGCUGAGUUGGGGUUCCUCCGUGGACAUUAUGGGGUUUCUCUUGAGUUAGGCAGCAAGAGCGUUGAGCGACUUCUUUUCCGAACAGUCGCGUACCCAAUGAGGACCGUUGCAUAUGAAGCAUGGGCUUCGCGGUUUUGGCGCCUCCUUCUUGUCCUCUAAUUUUCCUUGCCCGCUCUUGUUGCUAGGCGGCUUUUUCUGCCCCCAAUCUUUGUGGUUGUUGCUCUUGUCCUUACGACUCUCUCCCCCACCUUUGCCUUGGUUGGCCUUUUUGUCCUUGGAUUGGGUAGCGUAUUCGGUGAGCGACUCCGCAAUGGCGAUGGUGUCGUCAAGUGUUUGAACACCACGCCUAUCAAGCUCGGACUUGACCCAAUCCUUGAGGCCAUCUUGGAAGUAGAAGAGUGAAUCCUUGUCGGACAUGUCACUUAUCUCCAACAUAAGGGUAGUGAACUCGUUGAUGUAGUCCCGAAUGCUACCCGAUUGCUUGAGGCGACGUAAGCGCGCUCGCGCUUCCUUCUCCGCGUUGCUUGGGGUGAAUUACUUUUGAAGUUCUUGCUUGAAGUCAGCCCAAGUGUCGAUGGUACAAAUGCCGCCACCAUAGUUGUGCAGCGCCUCUAAGAUAUGUGGGUGCAGUACCCACUUUUGAUGCCUCAUCUCGUACACCCAUAGCAUCGAAGUAUUGAUCAAGCCCAAAUAGGAAAUUGUCCACGAUUGUGGCAUUGCGUGUGCCAUCGUAUGUGUCAGGCUUUGGCAUGUCAAUGCGAAGCGCAUCACUCGAGUUUGCGGAAACUGGACUUACGGAGAGUGUGCGCUUGUGCCAUGCCCAAUCCGAGCGGACUUCAUCCACUUCCGCACGGACAGCGCGUAGUUCAUCCUGAACAAAACUACGAAGUUUGAGCAACUCAUCAUGAAAAGAACGAAACUCACCUCGAAGAGUAUUCGCUUGCUCUUGGAUGAGGGCCUUUAUUGCCACCGUGAACUCGACGUAUUCUCCCUCGAGACCGUCCACUCGUUCCUCUAAUCCCUCGAGGCUGUCUUGAUUGGCGGAUAACGCAAUUUCGAGAGUAGUCACAUGAGGCUCCCUCACGGCCACGGCUUGGUUCCGGUGGAACAUCCACACCAACAACACCCUCUUGUGCGACAUUCGAAGGGUUGGCCAUUACUCGUGAGCUAACUUGCAUGCGUGCAAACCUUAGCUUUGAUACCACUUGUCACGGGAUGAGUAUUUUGCGCAGCAAACCCGUGCGACACUUAGAUAACUUUUCCGAAUGUUGCUAAGUAAGCCUAGAGCUUCUCGAACUAGAGAAGAAAGCAAUGGAGCCGAAUAAGAAAACUUGUAUUGCACAAAGAGAGAUUACAAUGCUUGUUGUAGUGUUUGUUGUAUGCAAAUGCCUAAUGUCAUCCCAUAUUUAUAGGGGAGGCUUGCCAAGCUCUAGAGAUUCUAGAGAAUUCUACCACUUCUUACCUAUUUACAUGUGCUGGAAUUGUAUAGAGAAUUCUAGAGUAUUUACAAGGUUAAUGUGCUAGAGUUGCCUAGAACUUUCCAGAAUUGAGCCAAGCUAGCACUCUUGGCCUUGUGUUGGGCUCUUGGUGAGCAAAUUGGGCUACGAAUUUGGACGGUCCGCAAUAAUGGGCUCCAAAAUCUUCCUCAUCAAUGACCUUGGUGCCCAAUCGCUAAUAAAAGUACAAAACACAAAUCUUUCUUACUUUGCGAAGUUUCUUCGAAAUGUUUCUACCACCGCAAACAAAGGCAUGAAUUUUAUAUUAGUUUGGAAAAAAGAUAUCUACAACCUCAAGAUUUGAGAAAAUAAUUACUUACACCUCUAAAUUUUUAAAGAGGAACAUCAAUACGCCUUGUGACUAUUAUACUCACUACUUUUGAUAUUCUAAAAAAUUGGCUUUAGUAUCUUUAGUAAAUAUAAAUACCAUAUAAAUAAUGUAAUCUAUGCAUUAGAAUAAAAAUAUUAAAAUAUUUUAAUAUUUAAUAACUUUUAAUAUGUAAAUUAUCAUAUUUAUUUUAAUAAUAUAUUUUUAUUUAUUGUGGAGAUUUUAAAUAAAUAUUUGCAAUAAAUACAUUCUACAAUUAGAAACAUGCUCACAUACUGAUACUGUUAAAAUUAUUAUUUUACAUAAUAUUCAAAAUAAUUUAAAUUUUUAAUAUAUUUAUUUUAAUAUUAUGAUUCUAUUUAUCAUAAAAUUUACUUUAAUAUAAUAAAUAUAUCUAAUAGAUUAUAAAAUAUUAAAAUAUUUUUUAAAUAUUGAAAUUAUUUUAAAAUGUAUAUAUUAUUAUAUUUAUUUUAAUAUUAUAUUUCUACUUAUUAUAAAAUAUUAGAGUCAAUUUUUUGAGAUAAUAAAAAUAAAGAGUAUAAUGAUAGUGAAAAGGAAGUUUUGGUGUUCUUCUUUAAAAACUUUAGGGAGUGUUGGUGAUUAUUUCUCAAACUUUGGGGGUAUAGAUGUCUUCUUCUGUGCUAUUGUUAAUAGUGUGAAUCAGUCCAAGUUGUCGGUUUGGGUGGAAGUUCAAUCCAAGUUAUAUGAAUUUUGGCAAAUUUGUGUAUACGAAUUGUUAGAUUCCACCACUUGUUACACCUGUCAAUAUUUGAUAUCUGCAGCGGAACAAAUGAAUCUCCAAUCACUAUUAUUUGUACCAUUCGUCCCAUAUGCUUCAAUCCGGUAGGAAAAUAGUUGUAGUGUACUAAAUGGUCCAAAUGUUUGAUUUUAUUUAUGGGUUAAACAUCAACUUGAGAAACACCAUCUCUUCGGAAUCCUUUCCCUGAUGCUAUUCCAUUUAAAGAACGCCAUCACCAAUUCACCAUCAUCCAGAAUAGAUACUUAAAAAGACUACUAAUCACCAUCAUCCAUCCAUAUGCCAUACUAAUGCAACAAUCUUAUAAAAGCAUAAAAAACCGCAAGAUCAAACUUAAGAUACAUGGGCAAGUGUUAGAAACAAUUCUUAUAAGGAUCCCCCUAUCUUACAUGCAUGUAAAAUACAUCCCUUCACAUGAACAGUACGCGGGUACUGUUCAUGUAAGGGGGAUGUAUUUUACAUGCAUGUAAGAAAUAAAUUGUCUUCUUAUAAAUACAUACCUUCACAUGAACAGUGCGUGGAUACUGUUCAUGUGAAGGGGAUAUAUCUUACAUGCAUAUGAGAAAAGGAAUUGUCUUCUUAUAAAUACAUAUAUCACACAUCAUCUGUGAUAAAGAAUAAACCUCCCAAUGAAAAUGUAUUUAUGAUAUAUCAUCAAAUUUUAUCAUGACAUAGGCUGAUUAUACUUUGGAAGAAAAUAAAAUACGUACACAUACUAUAAAGCUAAUUCACGUACAUAAUCAAACGAUGCACAAAAAAAAAAAAAAAAAAAACUACCUGACUCGCAAGCCGCAGCCUCCGAGAGCGAGCCAUGCAUGGCACUGGAUUGCUAAUUUGGUUUGCUCCGGGCCGACGUGGCCUGUUAUUAAGAGUCGUAUAUUGUGAAUUUGUGAGGACGUGCUCAAUGAAUUAAUGCUACGAAAAUAACUUUUCAUCAUAUUUUACUUUAGAGUGCGCCAAUUUCAUGGUAAUAAUCAUUGAAUGUACGAAUGAUCUAAUUCGUAAUAUUAGAUUGAAUCCAUUGCUUAAUAUUAGAUUGAAUCAAUUGUAAAGUAUAUAUAUUUUAACAAAUAUUCACCUGCCCAAUUAAAAUCAUGAAAGGUUUGUUGUGGACACACUACAAGAAAAAAGACGGGCAAAAACUAUCAUCUUAAUGGUAAAUGACGGUUGUCCUUACUGUCAUUGUAAUCAAUGUCAAGGAGAGAUGAUAGACAAAAACUAAUCACGAGUUGUGAUAGAUUUUACCUAUCAUAAUUCUCUCAUACUAUUUAUAGGAGGAAAAUUGAUUUUUUAAAAACUUUUGAUGGAAAAAUUUAAAUUUUAUGAAAUUAAAAUUGUAAUUUUUUUUUGGAAAAAAGUUGUGUGUCAUAUGUUGACUGAUAUUUUCUAUCACAAUUUUUUAAAAAAAAUUGAUUAUUUAUUAAUUUAAAAAUAAAAAUUUAUGCAAUUUCAGCUGCUUCAAUUUAAAAUUUAAAUUAUUAAAUUUAUAUGAGAGAAAAUAAAGGCUCUGUCUACCGUGCCACUUGGGCACGGUACCCCCCAUUUUCGUCGUGUAGUGAUGUCGCCCUUGGGUGGAAAAGGACGAGAUCGUGCAGGUGUGAAGAGGCCACGUUGCAGGUCAAGGAAACCGGGAGUGCGGGUCAUAGGACUGGAACUGUUGACGUUGCAAAUUUCAUGUUUAAGGAAACAAGAAAUGUUGGUUUCGAUAAGAAUAAUAAAGUUAGCCAAAACAAGUAUAAGUAGAAGCAAGUGUUUCGUAAGUCGGCUAUAUGACGUAGGCUAGUAACAAUUUCAUUGUUGAAGGAGGCAUGUAAUGGAUGCAACAAUAGGAACAGUAAAAGCGAAAGAAUGGAAAUGAAAGAUAAAACGAACAAACAGUGAAAGACUAAGAAGUGGAGGCCGAAACUGUAAUAUCAAAACAAAUAGGAAGGAGUAAAACAAAUAUAUGGAUGCAUAAACAGUGAACUAGAAAGACUCCAAAACAAAAUGUGGAGUGGGGAGAAUUUCAUAGUCGUGUUCGGAAGAUUGGUGGAUUGCAGUGUGUGAAACUUGCGUCCAGUUUGAAGACAUAUGGAGUUAAUUUAAGUUGAAGCUGAGUGAUCCAUGGUUAUUACUUGAAUGACUAGUGGAAAUUGAAAAAAACCAAGAGCAAAUAAGGAAUGGUGUCGAAAUGGGAUGAUAACUUCAAGGAACAUCAGACAUGGAAUUAAUGGCAGCUGGAAAAUCGACGCAUGUGGUAAAAUAUAUGUAUGACUAAACUGAGGGCUUGAAAUAAUAAACAUCUCUGAAAUGGAGUAGCCAAGUAACACAUGAAGGUCUAUAUGGCCAACAACUAUGAAUUUGGUUCUUUGAAUAGAAGAUAACCUUAGUUGGAAUGAAAUAGAUAUGGACAAGUAAAUUUUAUCAAUGGAAGCAUUUAGUUGAACUGUGUUUGAAGUGGAAGUAAGCAUAAAUGAAGUAAAAGGUGAUGCAAACGUAAAUGAAAGGGAAAAAUGGACAACAGCUUUGAUCAAUAUACUUGAAACAUAUAUGGAAUAUUGAAAAGAUGCUCUAACUGCUGUUGCAGGUUGGCGAUCUAAGAAAUGUAAAUGAUUAAAUGGAUAUAACAAAAAUACGACAUAAGUUCCAAACACAUAAUGCCAUAAUUUGACAACAUUAUAGCAUGUCCCAAAAGGCAAUGAAUGCCUAACAACACAAAGUUAUAAGUCCGUCAUAUUGUGAAAUAAGGGCAAAUACAGAGCACGCACAAUAGGUAAAAAUAUGGUGGUAGAAGUUUCUAGGACGGCGUUGGUUUAAUUCGACCAAAGCGAUGAAUUUUGGUUGUAGUCAUAGGAAGAUCGAAGACAUGGGCAAUGUUGGAGGACAGAGUAGUUGGUUGCCAUCGAUAAGGCAUAUCCGCACAGGGUCACUUUUACAGGCCUACAAAUUGAGGAAAACAAAGUAAAAAAUAAACAAGUAAUUACAAUAUAAUAAACUUAGUUAUUGAAGCAUCAUAAAUAAAAAAGUAAGUGAAAAUUAAACAAUUAAUUACAAUAAAAUAAACAUAGUUAUUGAAGCAUAAAAAGAAAGAGUAAGUGAAAAUUGAACAAAGAAAUACAAUAUAACAAACUAACUCAUUGAAUCGUCAUCACUGCUGCUUGAUAGUAGCCGAAAGAAGUCAUGUGCAGCAGCAGGAGUGUUGGCUAAAUAUUGAGUAGGCUAAAUCUGUUAUAAAAUGGGAAAACAUUGACUGAUUAAUUGAAUUUCAGAUUAAUAUCUAGCAAAUGCAUAAUAUGGAUAAUAGAGACGAUAAGAGACGUGGAUAAAUGACCUGUGCUGCAGGGGCAAUAUGGCACAGCGUGUGUUGUAAAAUAAUGGUGUGUGCACAUGGAGGAGGGAGCAAAACAUGUACCAUUUCUACCAUGGCAAUAUUUUAUGUUUCCGAUUCACUUCGUUCUAUUACUUUCUGCAGUUUCACUUUCCCUAUUCCCAAAUCACCUUACAUGUUCACUGUCAAACUUAAUCUUCAUUGCAAUACUUAGUAACACCCAAGCUACUCUUGCAUUUUCGGCUGUACAUUCAAUUAUUAUUCUAUGCACUUACAAAAAUACAAAACAAAUCAACUGAAUAAUCCAUUUAUUAUUAGUCUUUUCUAAGUAAUUAUUAUAUAAAUUACAUAAAAAUAAAAGGAUUGAAAAUUUAAUUUUAAGGUGCCGCCUGCUUCUAAGAAGUUGAGGUUCAAAGCAUAGUCAUCAUGAAGAUAAAAGAAGAGACGACAAACAUCGCUGACCCAAUAAAAUUACAGAGCAAAACCACAAGUUUCUCAUCAAUCCUAACGCAACAAACAAGUGUCCAAUUGAAUUGCUAGUAAACAAUCCCAAAAUCUUUUUGCAAAUUAAUGAACUAGACUCUACAAUUUUCCCAUUCUCUCUACUAUAUAUAAUUUCCCAGCACAAAUAUUAUGAAUUAUGCAUUAUUCAAGUAAAAAAUUUCAAUUUCAGCUUCCAGUAACCGGCAGUUUUGUUGUCGCGACCCUUCUUUCCGUUUCCUUUGAUACUACCACAUAGAUGUUCAACUAGCCGCGAUCCACUUCAUUCAUCCCACGUAACACACCGUCGCAACACGCUUGACUGUUCUCCCUACCGUAUAUUUCUCCUCAACAUCGGUUAAAAGUAAAUCCAGCUGUGGUUUUCACCGCCCUAAUACCAAUAAAAAUGAUGCACUACUACAACAGGUUGAGAUGGUAGCCCGACUUUAAGUCACUAUUCCUUCCCAAAACCCCAGCCGUUAGAUUUUAAUGAGUAUAAUCUAACGGCUGGCCAUCAUAUCGACAAAUAAAGGGGGUAUGGUAUCCCUUGGGCACCGUAGCUGGACCUGAAAAUAAAUUACUAAAUGCAAUCAAAUCCAAAACGAAUGAAUCAAAUUAGUUAACUUUAUUAUCCAUAAAAAUAACUAAAGUACAAAAGCAUACAAUUCAAGCUUUACAAUACAUAAGUUAAACAAUAUUCCAAAGUUAAGCCAAUAGAAAACAAAGGCCAAUCCAAAACCAAGCAAAACACAGCAUUCAGCAACAUCAGCACCAAAGCUAUGCAAAUGUAGUCCUUUUCCAGCAGCCCUAAGCCAAGUAAAAUGUACCCCAUUUCAUCAAUUAAAAAUAUCCAGAAAAUAAGUAUUUACACAUGAAAAUAGUAGAAUAUGAAAAUAUUCAGUGAAGAAUAAGGCCAAGCCCUUUUUUUCUCUUCUCUAAAGUAAUGAUUAAAAAGGAUUGAAGAAAUUUACGCAACAAAAUAAAUAAAAAUAUAAAUUAUAUAGUACUAUUAGUUGUGUAUAACACCUACUACAUAAACAAAGCAUCCACAGCAGUCUCUGCGUUCUGCAGUUUCCUGUCAUUAAGUAAUGAUAUAUAAAUAGAAUUAAAAUCAAUAGCUAUAGUUGUAAUUCUUAGGCCAAAUCAAAUGUUAUGUACUUAAGUUCAUGAUUCUUUAAGUUUUGUUCUCUUUAGCAUGCCUUCCUACCAGUAAUCAUCUCAUGCCUUAUUAAAGUUUAAUACUGUUUUGAAUUAGAAUAUUCCAAGAAUUUUAGUGAAUGCUAGAAUUAUAACUCUUUAAGAUUAAUGCAUUGCAUGCUCAGCCUUAGCAAACUUAUCAAUCAAUGUUUGCAUACCCGAAAAAGAGACUAAAAAGAAAAACAAGAAUUAAAGAACAACUAAUAUAAGCAAUUCCUUACUUGAAAAGCUUGAUAUCACAUUUUAGAAUAAAAUAAACACAACAAAGUUUCCUUACCCAAAUUUACACGAACAUCAUCAUCAACUUCGAUACCACGGGAAAAGGGAUUCCCCCACUUCCCCAAGCCCCCUUACCUACAAAAUUCUGCAACCCCCUUGGAAAAAGCAGUAGCAAAAAUAGGUUUUUCUCUUGGUUGACAAUUCCAAGUAGCCCUUUAUAUGUUCCUGUUUGUAUAGUCCCAACAAACAAAUGAGAAGAUUUAUCAGAAUUUUUGAAAUAUAUUUUAAGACUAGCAGGAUUGUGAAUAAACACCAACAAGCGCAUCAAAGGAACAAGAAAGAAACAUCAUCAGCCUUAAGAAGUCUCCAUGCUUCCUCUGCUUCAAUAGCUUUAUCAAGAAUUCCACCUGAUGUUGCACUAGUGAAAAAAUUAUAUUCAAUGAAUAAAUAAUCGGAAACUUCAAAGUCUGUAGUUAACUAAAUUACUAAUGACGAUUAAGAGAUUCUCUCCGCAAAUUAUUCAAGAAACUUUUGCAGAUAAUAGUAAUUGUAUUUUGCAGCAAUUUUUCAAUAUUCUCCCACUAAAGGAUCAAGCAUUACGAGCCAAAAUGCAAACACAGGGCAUUACUUGAGUAGCAACUUAACCAUUUGUCACAAGUUGUACAAGACUUUUCAAUCCAAAAGAAGGCUAAAUUGUAGAAUAAAAUAUAAUUCUAUCAUUAAAGCCCAAAAGAACAUUAUUAACUAGAUUUGUAAAUUUCUUGAAUCUUAAAAUGGAAAAGUUCAUUCGUAUAAAGUUAUCAGUUCUGGCCUUACUGUUCUACUCAUCCUCAUCUCGCUCAAUUUAGUCGAUUAAAAAAGCAGGCUUAAGGAAUGUUUCUAAAUUUUAAUAAAUGAGAAAAUUCUAUAAUGAAUUAUUGUAAUACUAAAACACAAGAUUACCCAGAAAUGUAAUAGAACCUUUAACAAACACAUGGAAUGCAAAACCCAUAUCUAAAAAAUAUAUCAUUAAUGAAAGAGUUGGAACAACAUCCUAUACUAUAUAUAGAUUUAUAAUCACAAAUCCAGUAAGAGAAACAAUCAAACAAAACAAUAAUGCAAAAAAAAAAAAAUGAACCCACAAAAAAAAAAUCAUACUUAGGGAUUAAAAGAGAUGAGAACUGUGAAGCUUGUGUCGAAGAUAGUUAAGAUAACGGCGAAGCUCACCAUCACUUGCUAGAAAUCGUGAGAAAUAGGUAAAGCUUGCUUGCGAAUGAGUGUGGGUUUCAGGAAUUCUUGAUGGCUAGGGUUUCGACUGUCGUCGACAGGUAAGGCUUUGGUUUCGAUUUAGGUCUGAAUUUGAUUCCACCGUGGCAAAGAGAGACAGCAGCUAGCCAACGACAGUGAGGCUUGUCAUUGUCAGUGAGGAGCAAGCUACAUUCGAGAGAGAAGUUUUAGAGUAAUGAGUGAGUGCGGUCUUAACACUUGGGGCAAAAAGAGGUUGAAAGACUAAUAAAGGUGUGAAUAGGAAUGACAAUGGGCACCGCCCACAGCGGGUUUGUUAUUACCAAAUCUAAACCCGCACAAAAUUUAAAUUACCAAGCUCAUCCGUAACCCGUAGCGAGUUUUAAUUUUUUUAAAAAAACCCACCCGCAGCGGGUUUUAACAAUUACCAAACCCGUAAUGGUACCCGACAGAUUUUUUGCGGGUUUCUGUAUUUAAAAUCACAAAUGUUUAAUAUAUAAAUUUAUAAUAAUAACCUCAAAUUCCAUAUAACACACUCAAUUUUAUAUUUAAACAACGUAAAUGAAAAAUUAAAAUUUCCACAUUAAUCCAACACAAAUUCUCAAAUUUAAGUAUAAAUUACACAAAUUCAUUUAAAAAACACAAACUAAUAUCUAAAAAUAAUAAUUACAUUUCAUAUUAUCAUUUAAAACAAGCUCCAAGAGAAGAUAUUCAUUUCAUUCACCACUAUAAGCACCCAUCCAACACAAUGCCUAUAAUAAUAAUUAAGAUUAAUAUUUUCAAAUAUUAAUUCGAAGGGAAAUGCCUUUAGUUUUCUUUAGGUUAUGACUUUAGAAUGGGAGAUGGGCCACAUACACGCAUACACAACUUUGAGCAUUUGGCUAUUUGGUAAUUUGAAUAAUGACAUUAUUUUCUUUAUACAUUUUUAGAUUAAAAUUAAAUUAAAAAUAUUUGAAAAAAAUAUUGCGGGUUUGGUGGAUAUCCAUGCGGGUAUCCACCAGAUAUAAGGUUAAUACCAAACCCACCCACAUCCAUGUGCGGGUUUUAGUUUAUAAUACUAAACCCGCCAGCAACGGAUAAAAUUACCCGCAGCGGGCGGGUUUUAACGGGUGGAUUUGGGCGGAUUUGCGGGUUUGCGGGUACAAUUGCCAUCCCUAAGUGUGAAACAACGUUGUUUCACUUUUUUCUUUGUUUUGAUGUUGUUUUAUUUUUAUUUUUUAUUAUUUAGAAUUUUUAAAAUUUCGGUCAAAUCUAAAGUCAAAAUAAAAUUCUAUCAUAAUUUCUUGAUAGAGAAAAUAUAUAUCAUUAGUUGGUCAUAAGUAUUUGACGACAGUAAAUUCUAUCACAUUUUUAUCAUAAAUUUUUGAUAGAAAAAAUUUCAAUCACAUGUAUGUCGUAUUUAUAGGAUAUAAAAUUUUUUGGCCAAAAAUUAUCACAAGAGUAACUGUCAUUAUAGGUCAUUUUUCUUGUAGUGAUAAAACAACGGUCCAUGCACACAUAAAAUUAAAAUUAAUAUAUAUAUAUAUAUAUAUGUGUGUGUGUGUGUGUGUACAGAACCAAAUUCAAAUUAUGAAUACUCUUGGUUGAAUGAGGUUUAAAUGAUAUAACAUAAAAUUGCUCAAAUAAAUAACACAACUAGUAAACUACUAGAAUAGAAUAAACAACCAGAAACUUUUCUCCUGUGGGAGAUUACACGAUGAAUAUUGAUUAGUGAUUACCACUCUUUUGGUUACACUUUUUCGAUAGAUGCGAAAAAGAAACCUCGUGACUCGGCGCCCCAGCCGAGAGGGAGGGUUCCCUUGCACCUGAUUAGAUCCGCCGGCUUGAUUUGGCCCAUUAGCACCAUCAGAUUCAGGACCUGUUUGAGUAUUGUUUUGUUGAUUUGGUGAUUGGGAGUCCUCUGAGGAGGAUGUAAAAUUUUCCUCCAUCCUCUCUGACUUUUCUUUAAAGGACCUAAGGCUACAUUCAAAGAAGCUCCGGCGCACUCCCAUUUUUUCCAUUUCCUCCAUAUAUUUUUGGGAUUUUGCCCUGGCUUUUUCCUGCAGUUCUUCAUCAGACUGGUUUGGCUUAUAAACAACUGCAUUAGGGCUUGUUAUCCUGGGCUCUUCACUGGACUGGCCAGUGUGGGUGCGUUUGCGCUUGCGCUUUGAUUCUGAUUGUUGUGGCCGGCAUAAUUGGCAUUGGCUUUGUUGGUUUUGGUCUGGAGAUUCAUCCUUUGAUUUUGGUGUAUGAGUGGCUUGGAUACGUGUGGUUUCUGUUUGGGUUUCGUCAGGCUUCUGCUUAGGGGAAGGGUCUUUCUCAGGACUAGUACCACUCAUGAUUUGUUCUCAGCAAAAUAUUUGCUCAGUGUAAAUGACUAGUUAGCUAAUCUAAUUGGCGUUUGCUACAUAGACUUGAUAGAGAAGCAUUCAUAUUCAUAAUGGAUGAAGGAGGGGUGAAACUUCUUCUCUAUUUCUCUCUAUUUCCCCACCGGAAUUGAGAGAGAUGGUGAGGGCGUGGUGUGUCGGUGUUAGUGAGAAAGAUGGUGCGGGGGUGUUUGUGGCGGUAUGAGAUGGAGUGAGAAAGAUGGUGAGGGUGUGUGUGUGAGAGAGAUGGAGAGGGUGAGUGUGCAUGAGUUUUUUGUGUGCGUGUGUGAGUGUGUUAUGUGCGUGCGCGUGUGUUGUGUGCGUGUCGUGUGUGUAUAUGAGAGAGAGAUGGUGAGGGUGAGUGUGUCGGCUGGUGGCUACUGAGAAAGAGAGAUAGAGAUCGUGAG
rnacentral:lncRNA from 1 species